CAACAACUAUAAAAGGAGACCAUGAGGCAAUGAGUUGAUCAUCAAAGCAAACACACAGAAAUCCCAACUAAAAAUCAAUCAGUGAGACAAUGGCUGGAACCAAUGAUAUUAAAAUUAAAGGGUUUGAUUUGAGCAACAACAAAGGCAACACGUCGGGAUUAACCCACUUCGCCAACAGAGCUGCCGAGGGCGACAAGGGCGACAAUAAAAUCGAGGUUGAGGAUGCUAAAGGGCAAGGGAACACGGGAAACUUGAAAGUACUGACCGACUUCGCCCAACGCGGUAAAGUGGGCCAGUCGGAUCGCCAAGAACUACUCAAACCUCAGGCAUGAAAUUGAAGAAGGCCAGACCACAACAACUUGUCUGCUUGAUAGAUAUAUGUGCUAAAUUAUCUACACAAAAAUAAGAGCUGAUGUUUUAUCUGAGGCUCCUUCCUUGGUUAGGCCUCGUUAUCAUGUGUAAUAUUAAUAUUAUUAUUCUAAUAAAAUAAUGGUAGCUUAUUAUUAAAUAUAUCAGAAUUCUAUACGUAUAACUUUUAGAUUAUUGAUACUGAUGUCAACAAGAGAAAAUGAUUAAAAAUUCCUUUCUCCAAUUCGUGAUGUUAGACAAGAAGCAAACAAAUUUAGGAUAAUGGAUUUUAAAAGUUUGGUGACAAAUGAUGGUAAAGAAGAAUUUAGCCACUACUACAAAAAGUGAAAAAGACGACCAGAAAACAACGACGGUCUAAGUGAAAACCGUCGUGGUUUAUAAAAAGACGACGGUUCUAAAAACACCGUCGUGUAAUACAACCUUAGACAACUAAAAAAUGGAGUUUCAAAUGGCUGUUCAAAAACAACGACGUACAUAAUUAAACAACCGACGUCUAUUUGAAACAGAUUUCCUCAGUGUAAAAUCAAUGCCAACAAAGAACGGCAGAAGUUAUGAAUCGACCGACGUAGAAAGUAAAGACGACGAUUUCAAUAAAAACUGCCGUUUUUACUCAUAAAAUAACACGACGAGGUUUUCGUAUAAGACGCCGUAUAAUUACAAACAAAUCCACGGCUUUAAAAUACAAAAUAUCGCCGUAUUAAAUUAAUUUACAACGACGGAAAAUAUAAAUAUAUCGACGUCAUUCUCGUAUAGUUCUACUACGUUAUCUUUAAAUCGUACAAUAAAAUUUAUCGUCGUAUUUAUUCAUUUUAUACGUCGUACCUUUAAUUUUAACGGUCGUCUUAAUAAGAAUUUUUGUUAACAAUUUUUUUCUUUGAUUUUCUUAUCCUACGUCGGUAGAUCUACUUAAUGACAAGAAUUGAAAUAACCACGACGGUUUAUAUAGAACACCGCCGACAUAAUCAGUUUUGUCUGAGAUCCCAAGGGUUACGAAAUCUUACCAGAUGGAACUCUGUUCCACAUCAUAAUCUUAACAGAUGACACAGAUUUGCAAAUAUUGCGUCGUGUUAGUUUACAAAUUCUAGAACAUUAAUUUCCCUCAUUUUAAAUUUCCUCGGGAAAGAAAAAUCUAUUUAUCACGCUUUGGAAUUGAAAACUAAAACUGAAAGAAUACGGGAAAAAAAACUCCAUUUAUAAUUUAAAAUUAAAAUCCACGUCGGUUGUAGUACACUUAACGACGUUUAACAAAAUAAUCUACGUCGGUAAUUAUAAAUCUACCGCCAUCGUAACUUAAUAUAGACGACGAGAAAAGACGACGGUAGAACAGAAAACCGCCGUUGUUUCAGUUUCUUUAACAUAUCUUUCUGCAGGACUUGUGUAGUUCAAAGCAUUGACAAUGUCUUCAUCAUAUCUCCCAGAAACUACUGAUUCAAUUGCUCAUGCUUUAGAGGCCAUCUGAAGCCAUUUCUAUUCUUUAUCGCAUUCUUGAAACCCAUCUUCUUCUUCUGAAGCUCUACGGAUAAAGGAAGAGGCUAUCACAAUAAAUCCGACGGAUCUUCUUAGGCAAGAAAAUCAAGCAGAGGAUCAGGCACAUCUGAUCUUCAGAUUUCCCUGAGAAGCGAACUUUCCUUCGACAGCGAGUGGAGGCCAGGCUUGCAUCUCUUUUGAUGGAAAGCAAGGAGUAUUCAGAAGCACUAAGUGUCCUAUCAGGCUUGAUCAAGGAAGUGAGAAGGCUAGUUGACAAGCUUCUUCUUGUGGACAUAUAUUUGAUGCGAGUAAGCUCAAUUUCUCUUUGAGAAAACAUCCAAAUUAUUAUCUUUGAGACAUGAGAGACUGAGAGAGGAAGAACUUGGAACCUUAAAUGUAAACCGAAAAUGAAUGAAAGCGACAAAUUUAUAGAAUAAAUUUUUAAAACCAACGGCGGUCCUUACAAACAAACCGCCGUUUAAAUUGUAAAAUCAACGUCGGUAUGAUCGACGUAUAUUACAGAAAUCCACGUCGGUAAAUUAAUAAAAACGACGUGUUAAAUAAUAUACCAUGACGCGAGUUAUUACUUAUGUACUUUAAUUUUUGAGUUUACUACGACGGUACCUACAAACUACUGUCGUAUUUAUUUACCACGUCCGAAGUUAAAUGUACCGUCGUAUUUUGUAAUUUAUACGUCGUAGUUAUAUGUAACCGCCAUAUUAUUUUUUUGAAAUGGUUUUAUAUGUAAGCAACUUUUCGUCUACUUGACUUACACAUUUGUUGUUUUUAUAUUCUUAUUUUAUUUAAAUCUGUCAUCCAAAAAAGAAACUUUACAUAUUGCAGAAUAUUAAUUUCCUUCGUUUUAAAUUUCCUCCGGAAAAAAAACUCUAUUUAUAACGCACUGUAAUUGAAAAAUAAACUGAAAGGUCACGGGAAAAAAAAUUCUAUUCAUAAUUUAAAAAUUAAAAUCCACGUCGGUUAUAUUAAACCUAACGACGUUAAAUGAAAUGAUUCCACGUCGAAUGAAAAAUAUUGCGUCGUUUUAGUUAAAAACGACGUAGUUAAAUGUAACCGCCGUAUUAUUUUUUUGAAAUGGUUUUAUAUGUAAGCAACUUUUCGACUUACACAUGCACUGUUUCCAAACCCGAUUAAAAAUUUCAAUCUCCCAGAGAAACCUUUUCGUCUUUUUUCCUUGUCAGAGCAUUGUCAGAGUUUUUCAUCGUCUUCCUCUCGUCUUCUUCGUCGUCUCUGAACUUAAACAUCGAUCAUCUUCCUCUUGCUUUCAUUGCACGCAAAAGGUAAGCUUUCAUUUUCACUAUUUUGGUUACUGUUUUGCAUGCUCAUACGUUUUUUGUUUGAAAAAUCUUUUUACCUUUUUUCUGGCCAAAAUCAUUUUACUUCUUUCCAAGUUUGAUAAAAUAUACAGACAAAGAGAGAAAGUUUCCAACUUUGAAGACAACUACAUCAACUAAAUAAGACGACGGUAGACCACGACGGUUCGUCAGUUGUUCUAGCGUCGUCUGAAAAUUGACAAAGUUGUUUUUAAAAUAAUAGUCUUUUUUUAUAUGCUUGUUUAAUUGCAGGUUUGAUUUCGCUGAACAAUGGUUUUUGUUUUUCCCUUAUUUGAUAAAAUAUAAAGAAAAAGAAACUAGGGUUGGUAUCUAAUAUAGACGAUAAAAUAUAAAUAAUAGUUUACCACGACGGUGUAUUACUAUUGACGUCGUGUGAACAUAUAUACCACGACGUUAUAUAAAUAAUGGUUUUAAACAUUUAUUACGUCUGAGAUUAUUUCAUUGCGUCGUCUAAAAUCAUAUCAUACGUCGUAUUUUUUUAAUACCGUCGUUUGUGUUCUUAAUGUUUUCCUGAAAUAUUUUCACUUGCAGUUUUGUCUGUUAAAAUGGUUUCUCAACAACAAACUAAGGAUUCUGGCUCCAAGAAGCUUGGAAUGGUAGCUCCUCAAGAUAAGUCUUCGAAGGAGAUGAAGUCUUCGAAGAAGAUGAAGUUUGCUUCAUCAUCUGCUGAGACAGAACAAACCAGCCAGACAACAAUCUCAGAUGAUUCAAAGACUGGUCGAGGUAUGAGCACAAUGCCUCGUGUUGUGAAGAGAAAGCUUCAGAAACUGAGGCCAAUUGUUGAGUACAAUAAAAGGGGGAAAGGUGUUGGCCAAGCACAUAUUGAGAUGCAGUCGUAUAUUGGUGUGUUGGCACGCUCCAGGAUCCCACUUGUGGACAAGAAAUGGUCCCAAAUCCCCAAGGAUAUAAAGGAGCAGAUUUGGGAAGCAGUUGACAUGGCUUUUGUCGUAGGCCAAGGGGGCAAGACCUCUGUUUUAGCUUCUGCUUCCAAGAAAUGGAAGGAUUUCAAGUCUACACUAACGAGGCAUUAUAUCCUUCCAUACACCAAUGACAGGGAGAAAUUAAGCCAACCCCCUGAAACAUAUAAAUUCAUAGAGAAAGCACAAUGGGAUGCCUUUGUAGCUUCAAGGCUAUCCAAAGAUUUUGAGUCUGUGCAUUCUCAACAUGCACAGAUUAGGGAGAAACUCGAGUACAAUCAUCGAUUGUCUCGAAAAGGAUAUGCUGGAUUGGAGGAUCAAUUGGAGGAAACCAUGCCUGGGGUAGAAAUUGAUCGAUCUACCUUAUGGAAGAGAGCUAGACAGGACAAACAUGGUAACAUCCCUGAUCCAAAGGUGGCAGAGAAAGCAAAAUUAAUUGUAAGCCUACUAUCACUCUGUUUUAAAUUUUUAUUAAACUGUGAAUUAUUCUUAUUACGUCGUAUGUUAUAUUUUUCGUCGUGUGAAUGAUAUUACCACGUCGAAAAGUUUUUAAAAACGUCGUUAAAGGUCUAAAUAGGAAUCACUACUAUGUUUUCUGUAAUUACAGCAUAAGACGUCGGUGGUUCAUUUUCGCGUCGUGUGAAUGAUAUUACCACGUCGAAAAUUUUUUAAAAACGUCGUUAACGGUCUAAAUAGGAAUCACUACUCUGUUAUCUUUAAUUAUAGCAUAAGACGUCGGUUGUUUAUUCAUUUCGUCGUUUUAAAUAAAUAACCACGUCGGUAUAACUACCGUCGUGAUAAGUUAUAAUAACGUCGGUUUAUACGUUAUUGCGUCGUGUGAAAUUAUAUAAUACGUCGUUUGUACAUAAAUAACCGUCGUGUGUUUUUUUGUUUAUCUUUUUUUAGGAUGAAUUGCAGAAACAAGUCUCGGAAGGCAAAGUCAGAGUAGAUGGCAGCAAUGAUGUGCUGACCAUGGCUUUGGGCCCCGAGCAUCCAGGCAGACUGAGGGGAGUUGGUGCUGGUGUUUCCCCAAGGCAAUAUUUCAAUUUGCCCAAACCACAGAGGGUGAGCUUUGACGACCGUUUGAAGGACAGUUUAAGAGUUCUCCUUCAAGAAGAGACUAAAAAGAUGGAGGCUAAGGCAAGGGAAGAGGCCUUAAGGAUGGAGGCUAGGACAAAACAAUUGGUAGAGGCUGAGAGGGAGCAUUUCCUGAGUCAGCUUUCCCAAUUAAUUCCCAAUUUUGAUCCAAGCAUGCUUAAACCAAGAAUUAGCCAAAGCCCCAAAAAUCCAAUGUCUGACAAAGCUAGCUGCUCUGGAGGUGAUGUGAGAUCCCUACAUUUGGAGGAUGAUACUGCCAAAAUGGGGAAACAUCAGCCAGAUGAAGAGAAGGAAGAAGAAAAAAGAGAUGAAGAGAAGGAAGAAGAAAAGGAGAAAGAAGAUGAAGAAAAGCAUGACGACAAGGUAUGUUCACAUAACUUUGCCUUUUUUAUUUGUUUUUCAAAAUUUCAGACGUCGAUAUUUUUAUUUAAUCCGUCGUUUGUUUAAAACUUAGACGGCGGAAUUUUUUUAAGACGUAAUAAAAUAUUUAAACGACGGUUUUUGCACCGUCGUUUAAAUGGUUUCAGACGACGCUUUAUUCAUAAAACCGUCGUCUUUAUUGAAUUACCACGACAGUUUUUUCACCGUCGUUUAAAUACUUUUAAGACGACGUUUUAUUACUUAAACCGUCGUCUUUAUUGAAUUACCACGUCAUUUUUUUUAUUUCUUUAAACAGGUUAUUGAAGUUGGUGCUUAUUCAAAAAUGGAGGCGCCAUCUUCUUUAAAAACCCUUUGUCGUUUUGUGGAAACGACACUCCUGCCUGAGGAUAAGACACUCCAAUUUACAAUUGAUAAGGAGGUGUUUGGUGGUGAGCGCGAUACCUUCCUCCUGCCUGAAGAUAUUACACAAUUUGCAGGCAUGGAAGAAAUUGGAGCUACUGUAUUGGCUGUAUAUAUGAGGUUUGUACUUCUAAAAUAAUACCUCGUUGGUUUAUAUAUUGCGUCGUCUUAACUAACUAACCACGUCGUCUUAACUAACUACCGUCGUGAUAAAUAUAUUAUAACGUCCUCAUCUAUUUCAGUACGUCGUGUGAAAUAUUAUAAUACGUCGUUUUUUUAUACAUAACCGUCGUGUUUGUUUGUGCUGACUUGUUUAUAUUAUUUUAUGUAUUUAGGUACUUACACGAUGUUUUGAAACAAGCCAAUAUGUGCAGCAUGGUUGGCUUUAUUGACCCUGCUACAGUUAGUGCCAACUCUGGCACAAUAACUGAAAGAUCACGACUGGUAGCAGCUCGACUUCAGAAGACAGACGGUGAACAGCUUUUCAUGAUGCCUUACAAUCCAGGGUUAGUCUCCUUAGGAUUUUGUUUUUAUGAUUUUCAAUAAAUGACAGCUUAUAAACUAACCACGUCGGUGUUUUAUUUUAUUUAGUCGUUUGAAACUACUAACCACGUCGGUAUUUAUUUGUCGUCGUGAUAAAUAUAUAAUGUUGUCGUUAUCUACUUUAUUUCGUCGUGUGAAAUACUAUAAUACGUCGUUUUUGUAAAUAACCGUCGUUUUUAUAUUAAUUUUGUGCAGCCGUCAUUGGAUCCUGCUGAUUGUAAGAGCAAAGAAGGAGACCGUCUAUUUUCUGGAUCCUCUGCCAGGUCAUCGUGUGGUCGACGAAGAGGCGAAAAACAUCGUGAACAGUGCUUUAAAAAUAUAUAAUACCCACAUAGGCCGAGCAGGACGUAAAAAUGUAAUUUGAAAAACUCUCUCAGGCACACCAAAGCAACCCAGCAAUGUCGAAUGCGGGUAUUAUGUGAUGCGCUUCAUGAGGGACAUCAUCAUGGAUCCUUCCUUGGGGUUUGAGAAUAAGGUAAGAAGAAAUUACCUUCAUACAUUUCACGUCGUUUUUUGUAUUAUCAACGACGGUCAUGUAAAAUUAACGUCGUUGAAUGGAUAUACUACGUCGGUUAUGAAAAAUAUCGUCGUCUGUGAUUGAAUUUCUUUUUAUUUAUAAACCCUAAUAGUCAUUGUUUAUGCAGUAUGCCAAGGGAAACCAGGAAGCUUCAUACCCCCAAGAAGCCAUUGAUGAAGUCCGGAAUGAAUGGGCAGAGUUUGUUUUCCAAAUUAUUAAACAGGGCAAUUAUUGAACACUUGAUAUUUAUGUAUAAUGUACCAAUUUUCUCUAUAAUAUGUAAUGUAAAAAUUUGUUGAGGUUUUCUUAAAUUAAAAAAAAAACAAACAUACAAAUUGCUUAACCGACGUGUAAUACUUUUCCAACGACCUAAUAAAGUCACAAACCGUCGUAUUUUGUUGUUUCGUGUUUUAAACAAUUACGACGUAAAAAAAUAGUUAGACGACGUUCUUUGAACAAUUGAGUCGUUAAUGGUUUACAAUAUCUUCAAUUUCUUAAGGGUUCAGGGUAUAAUCGACGACGUUUAUGUAACGACUGCGGUUAAGUCGUAAAAUAUAUAUUUUACGUCGUAUAGUUAAAUAGCCGCCAUGGUUUUUCAUUUUAACGACGUCAUUUUAACGACUUAGUAGUCUAUUACAAUUUACAACGUCUACAAUUUAUUAACACCGACGUGGUUUGUUGUUGUGGUAAGAAUAUUUUAUUAUUUUUAUAUCAAAAUAUUCAAAAUAAAUUUAAAAUAAAUCAGAAAAUUGAAAAGUCAACUCCUAUGAAGUCAUUGAUAUAUUUUCUUCCACAUAAACCUUGAAAAAAUUCAUUUUGAAUAACAAAAAUUUAAAAUGACCAUCCAAAACAAAAUUGUUUUGAUGACUCAUAAAAUCACUUCUAGUUUUAUGGUUUAGGGUUUAGAGUCUAGGGUUUAGAGAUUAGGGUUGUUAUUUAUUGGGGUUUAUUUUUAAAGUAUAAUUUUUGGGUAGUCUAGGGUAUAUGUUAGGCUUUAAAACCAUAAAACCUUUUAUAAACUUAAUUUUUUAAAUUGUAUAAUUUAAUUUUAUGGGUUUAGGGUAUUAAUUUUUAACGACGGUGGUUGGGUCGUGGAAUACAUAUUUUACGUCGUACAGUAAAACAUACGACAUGGUUUACGCUUUAAACGACGUCAUUUUAAUAUGUAAGUCGGUUUAUAUAAUUUACAACGUCAACGUCUUUAAUUUCUUAACACCGACGUGGUUUUUCAGUCGUCGUUAUAUAAAAAAUUCAAAAUAAAUUUAAAAUUAAUCCGAAAAAUGAACGGCCUUACGUUCUUAAUCCGAAAAAUGAAGUUUCCGUCGUGGAAUAUUAAAUUUACGUCGGUACUUGUAGAACUUUCGCCUUGGUUUUUCUUUCGACGUUUUAAAACGCGCGCGCUCUAAAAAUUUUCGCGCGACCUAAACUUUUUUAGAUUUGGCUCUUAUUCUUAUACUUCGAACCCUGAAACCUAAAANNNNNNNNNNNNNNNNNNNNNNNNNNNNNNNNNNNNNNNNNNNNNNNNNNNNNNNNNNNNNNNNNNNNNNNNNNNNNNNNNNNNNNNNNNNNNNNNNNNNNNNNNNNNNNNNNNNNNNNNNNNNNNNNNNNNNNNNNNNNNNNNNNNNNNNNNNNNNNNNNNNNNNNNNNNNNNNNNNNNNNNNNNNNNNNNNNNNNNNNNNNNNNNNNNNNNNNNNNNNNNNNNNNNNNNNNNNNNNNNNNNNNNNNNNNNNNNNNNNNNNNNNNNNNNNNNNNNNNNNNNNNNNNNNNNNNNNNNNNNNNNNNNNNNNNNNNNNNNNNNNNNNNNNNNNNNNNNNNNNNNNNNNNNNNNNNNNNNNNNNNNNNNNNNNNNNNNNNNNNNNNNNNNNNNNNNNNNNNNNNNNNNNNNNNNNNNNNNNNNNNNNNNNNNNNNNNNNNNNNNNNNNNNNNNNNNNNNNNNNNNNNNNNNNNNNNNNNNNNNNNNNNNNNNNNNNNNNNNNNNNNNNNNNNNNNNNNNNNNNNNNNNNNNNNNNNNNNNNNNNNNNNNNNNNNNNNNNNNNNNNNNNNNNNNNNNNNNNNNNNNNNNNNNNNNNNNNNNNNNNNCUGUUUUUGUUUAAAACCCGUCGUCUCAUGUUGUUUAUACCUUGCGAUUAGAUCAUGUAUAAUCUGCUAUAGUGAUGGUCAUGCCUGUAUUUUCACUUUUAUAUAGAUAAUAGGUUAUAGUGUCGGAGAUGGAUAAGUCAUGGAUGCACUCGGAUAGAAGAUCGAAGGCAUAUGAGUUUGGGGUGGAAGCAUUUUUGAACUUUGCUGUAGAAAAUCUUCUAACUACAACACAUAUCCGUUGUCCAUGUGUUAAAUGUGUUAAUUUGAAGUUGUUUGGGGUUGGAAUUAUAAGGGAUCACUUAUACUUUAAUGGAAUUGACCAAAGCUAUAAGAAUUGGACAUUUCACGGAGAACCUUGGGAAGCAACUACUAAUGCUAGCAGAAAUGUUGAAGAAGAUGAUGGCCAUAGUAGGUACAGUUUUGUGUCUGAAGAAAUUGAUAUGGAUGAUAAUGAUUUUGGUGAUUUUGGUUCGGAUCCGUAUGAGUUUGCCAAUGUGAUUGGGGAUGGAGAUCAACCAGUGUACCCUGGUUGUAGAAAGUACACGAAGUUAUCGGCAUUAGUGAAGUUGUAUAAUUUGAAGGCAAAACAUGGGAUGAGUGAUGUCUGUUUUACAGAAUUAUUGAUACUUCAAGGCGAUUUGCUUCCAGAAGGAAAUACAAUACCAACCUCCAUGUAUGAGGCUAAAAAGACUUUGUGUGCAUUGGGGCUGAGUUAUGAGAAAAUGCACGCAUGCCCCAAUGAUUGCAUCUUGUAUAGGAAGGAGUAUGAGGAUUCAACUAAUUGUCCUACUUGUGGUAUCUCAAGGUGGAAGGAAGGCAAAGAUGCAAUCUUGAAAGAGGGUGUGCCAGCGAAGGUGGUGUGGUAUUUUCCCCCAAUUCCAAGGUUUAAAAGGAUGUUUCAAUCACAUGAGACAGCUAAGAGUUUGACUUGGUGGCAUGUUGCUAGAAAAUCAAUUGACGGUCAGAUGUCUCAUCCGGCGGAUUCCCCGUCUUGGAAACUUCUUGAUGAUAAAUGGCCUGAGUUUGGUAAUGAGCCGAGAAACUUGAGAUUGGCUCUUUCAUCUGAUGGAUUCAAUCCCCACAGUUCUCUAAGUAGCAGAUAUAGUUGUUGGCCGGUUAUCUUAGUUACAUAUAAUCUCCCUCCAUGGCUGUGCAUGAAACGAAAGUUCAUGAUGUUAACCUUAUUGAUUUCCGAUCCUAAACAACCCGGAAAUGAUAUAGACGUCUACUUGGAGCCUUUGAUUGAUGAUUUAAAAUCCUUGUGGGUUGGGAUUAGAGGAGUGUAUGAUGCACAUAAUGGAGAAUACUUUACACUCAGAGCUGCAUUAAUGUGGACAAUUAAUGAUUUCCCCGCCUAUGGAAACUUAUCUGGUUGUGUUGUUAAAGGAUAUAAAGCUUGUCCAAUAUGCGGCGAUGAUACACCUAGUCAAACAAAUAUUUUUUGUUGACGACCCGAUGCAUCGUGGUUGGUCGUGUAGGCGUGUGAGUGUGUGUUUGUGUUUGUUUUUGUGUGUGUGUGUGUGUGUGUGUGUGGUGUGUGUGUGUGUGUGUGUACCAUUACUNNNNNNNNNNNNNNNNNNNNNNNNNNNNNNNNNNNNNNNNNNNNNNNNNNNNNNNNNNNNNNNNNNNNNNNNNNNNNNNNNNNNNNNNNNNNNNNNNNNNAUGUAAUUGGCAGUGUAUGACAUUAAUUUUGUAAUAUAUUGUAAUGUGAUUUCUUCACUUUCUACGUUCAAAUAAAACACGACGUUAUUGUGAAUCAGUUAUUCAGCAUAUUUACCGACGUCUUAAAGCAACGUAACAAUGAAGAACCACGACGCUAUUGUGAAGCAAUUAUUCAGGAUAUCACGUCGGUGAAGGAUAAAGAACCGCCAUGUAAUUCAAAAUAACACGACUCCAAUCCCAUAAUACCGACGUCUAAAAAACGAGAUAUGUAAUCUGAACGUUAAAAAAUACGACGUCAUCAUACAUUUUCCACGUCGCAAGUUCUUUUAUAAACGAAGAGGAACGAAAUUAAUUCCGACGGAAAUUCAUUAUAACCGCCGUCUAAUAACAAUUAAACGACGUUAUUUGUAAUACGGCUCCCAUCAUAAUCUACGCCGUCUAUAUGUUCUGUAAUACGGCUCUCAUUUAUUUGGAACCGACGUUGUUUAGACGUUCAACGUCGUCUAUAUUAUUAAGUGCGUCGUGAGUAAUGAAUACAUAUAAAUACAACGUCGACUAUAUAAAUGUAUACGUCGUAAAUAAUGACACUGACAACUAUUUCCACGUCAUCUUUUUUAGAUAAAAUCGAAGUGGAAAAUUUAUUUCACGACGGUUUUUUGUAAAUAAGAGACGUUGUAGAACUUUAGCAGACUAAACACGUCUGUUUUUAUUGUUUUCCGACGUUGUUGUAUUUAACAACGUCUAAUAUUUAUGGUCGUUGUUUGUUUCUGAAAAUAGGACGUAUAAAUUUUUUAAUACGACUCUCAUAUAUUUGUAACUGACGUUGUUUAGUUUUUCAACGUCUACUAUAGAAACACAUACGUCGUAAAUAAUGACACUGACAACUAUUUCCACGUCAUCUUUUAUCAAAAAAUCGAAGUGGAAAAUUAAUUGUACGACGGUUGUGUUUAUAUGUGCGACGUAGUAGGUAUCAAUAACAUCGUCUUCUAAUGUAUUUAAAGACGUCAUAUUUUUUAUUGUCGUGAAAAUUAUAUUUAACGUCGGCGUAUUUUUAUUGUCGUCGUUGUAUGUCUAUCUUGCGGCCUUGUUCUCUUAAUAUGUGUCAUAUUUUCCCUUUUUAACGACGGUCUUUUUAGAGAAUUGGUCGUCUAUUAUCAUCAUCGAUUGCUUUUUUUAGAUCUUUUUGCAGUACAAAGACGUCGUUUUGUAUUUUUUGAUGACGUUGUAUUGUUUAACAACGACGGUUAUUUAGCGUCGUGGUUUAUGAGGGAAAAGAUGACGGUGGAUUCCACGACCAUUGAAAAACCAAAUACACGACGGUGAUUUACCGUCGUCUUUUUGCUUUUUUGUAGUAGUGAUCGGAAACUUGACUAAUUAGAAUACAACAUAUGUCGAAAUAUUUUUAUCAUAAAUGGUCUCUAAGGUUCGUGAAAUUAUUAGCUUUAGUCCUUCAUGUUUUUUUGUGACAUCAUUGGUCCUUUAUGUUACUCCUCUUCACACAUCAAUUUGGUUCUGCCGUUUGGAUUCGUCAAAAUUUAUGUUAAAUUGAUGGCAUGACAUGUAUAUGGUGCCUACAUAUCCAAUGAGAUAAUGACCCGUGGAUCUAAGUAAAAAAUUUGUUUUAAAAAAAUAGUUUCAUAUUUAAAAUUUUUAAAGGGCGAAGACUCAUUGGGUAACUCGAAGUUUGGGUUGUUGAAGCCUUCAAGCAUGGUUUUGCUCACAAAAGAUUGGAACGCAAUGUGUUGGGUUGAGCACUGAAAACCAAAGAAUAUCAAAAAUGUAGUAGGGGGGAGAGAGAGAGAGAGANNNNNNNNNNNNNNNNNNNNNNNNNNNNNNNNNNNNNNNNNNNNNNNNNNNNNNNNNNNNNNNNNNNNNNNNNNNNNNNNNNNNNNNNNNNNNNNNNNNNACCUCAUGUCAGCACUUAAUAGAAAAUUUGACGGACCCUAACGGCAUGGAUCAAAUUGAUGUGUGGUGUGUAACAAAAAGGAUCAAUAAUGUCACAAAAAACAUAAAGGACCAAAGUUGAUAAUUUUGCGAACCUUAUACACCAUUUAUGAUAAAAACCCUAUAUUGUAUAAUUUUAGUGUGUUUUUUUCUUAAAUGCUAUUGAGAAGAGAUUUUAUAAAACUGCUAUAUAAAAGGUUCACCACAAUGCUAUAAAACAAUAGUAGAUUAUGGCUCUCAGAUGUUUUCAUCUUCUUAUUCAUCCAAGCAGAUCGAUAACAUAUGGUCACUACUGACUUUUUCUUGUAGUUCUCAACAUCCAUCUUUCAAGCCAUCAACCAAGUUGUUGCAUUGCUCCUCACUGUUAGAAAAGCCUCGUUUCCCUCCUCCUCCUCCAUUGAUUGAAGGAGAGACAACAAAAGCAACUUAUGAAACAAGCCCCUCAUUUCCUUGUUAAACAUAAAUCGACCCAUUAUUGAUGAGGACUGAGAAUCUAAGAGCACACUAGUAAUUAACCUGAGUGGGGAAUAUGGAUGAUGGAUCUCUCUCUCUCUCUCUCUCUCUUGAAAAAAUCAACUUCAUUAUCCUUGGUGAAUUUGUUCUGAAUUAGUCGUGUCCAGCUACAAGCAAUACUGUACGUAGUAUAUUAUUCUCUGCAUUUGUGCAUGCCAACAACAAACAAAUAUUAUUCUCUAUUAUAGCAUAUAGGCCGUCAUUUUCAAUCCUUAUAAGAGAAAACUUGCUUCGCCAUAAGAGUACGUAGCUUGGCAAGCAAGGUAAGGGUACUUCAAAAGAUUCCUUCCAUCAUCUAUAUAAGACACAUGUGACAUUGCAUGUCUCAUCAAUCAUGUUAAGAUAAAGCUAGCUGGCAAGGCAAAUUACCAACCUUUAUGCUCGAGUAUAUUAUUCCAAGCAGAUAUAAAUGUUAAUAUAUGUGAAGAAUAUUAUGAUCAAUAUAGAAUAUGUAUCAUGAUCAGUUAUGGUAUCGACUGUCAGAAAAUAUCAUCCGCAUAUGUGCAUACCAACAUUAUCGAAAGACAGUAGGAGUAUCGUCAUAUCCGAUACAAGUAUCGGAGCAUGGGUAAGAGUAUAUAUACAAGCAUACCCGUCCAAUUAGGAGAAUCAGUGCAACAUAGAUGAAAAGAAAUUAGAUGUGAUUUCACAUAUUUUUAAAGAAUAGGGGAAAUAAACCAAUUAAUCUCUUUUGUCUUCUCCAUACAUUUUUGGUUGUGAAUUUUGGUUUUCGAAGAAUUUGGCAUUUCAAGCAACUUGGAAAACAUUUUGAUGAUCCAUUGAACCUUGUUAAAGUCGAUAUUCAAUCUCUAUGGACUUUGGCCGAAAUGUCUCAUUUCAAUUGGAAAGUGACAUUGAGAUUUGAAAAGACUAGACAUUAAGGUGGCAAGAGAAGUCUAAAAGGAUCAAACAGAAAAAAAUAAUGAAAAAUUGAAAAUAACCUAGAAAGGGGAGAAAAAAUUAGUUGCAAUAGGGAUAAUAAUGUUUGAGUAAUGCUAAACGAACUCUAAAAUUAACUUAGUACACCCUACUAUCAAACUAUUUAUUGAAUUACUAAUUUACCCUAAUAUAAAAUGACCAAAAAGGAUAUAUUGAAUUGUGCAGCAAAUGUAAUUUUAAUAAGUACACAUUACUCACCAUAUUCAACCCUAAUAUUCGAUGGAGGCGACAUUGAAUGCUAUGAAUCCAACCCAAACCCACCACCACCGUCCCUCUCUCUCUCUCUCUCUCUCUCUCUCUCUCUCUCUCUCUCUCUCUCACAAAUUAUCUUAUUUGCUCUAAAUUUUUUGCAAUGAGUCAGAAUCUUCUAUGUGUAUGUGGCAUUCGUUCAUUAGACUUGGUUAAUGCAUUCAACCCACCCAAAACAAUAAUCAUUUGAUGUUCAUCCUCGAUGUUGGUGGUUUCAAGUGAGCAUGUUCCCAAACGGCUCUUACACUUGCCCACUAGAACUCCAGCUCCUCACCCUCUGAUGAAUCUAAUGACAAUUAUGUUGUUGUUUGCACCAUAAACACCAACUUCCAACAACUCCAAUACAACCUAUUUCUUCUUAAUUAGAUACCUUGGGGGUUGAUAGCAACCUCAAUAGUCUAAGAAACAAACCCACUUCGGAAUUUUCCUUCUUCCACUAGUUGAAGGGAGAUGGGUUCCAACACGAUAUUACGCGCUUAUUAGAAUCUUAUACUCGUCGAGUCUGGGUUGGCUGGUGAUAAGCAGGGGAAGGGUGGAGUUGGGUUGUGUUAGAGAGAGAGAGAGAGAGAGAGAGAGAGAGAGAGAGAGAGAGAAAGAGAAAGAGAGAGAGAAGGGCGGUAGUGGUUGGGUUGGGUUGGAUGCGAAAGGGCUUAAAUCAGAGGAGGAAGGACGGGUUUGGCUGGGUGGGUGACAGGACCCGACCCAAUUUCCGCUUUGGAAUCCGAGCUGAAUCCUGUGCGUGUCCGACACCUGGCGAAUGUCGGGCACGAAUGACCUUUUUACCCUUCUCUUUUCAAAUUCUUUUUUUUUUUAAACUUCCCUUAGACUUCUACCGAAAAUUCGACAGAGUCUCCCCUGUAUUUUGACCAAACCCAAAGUCUUCCACCUGUCAAACAGUCUCAAAUAACACACCAACUACCAGACUAACUCAACCAACAGAUCUCAACUCCAGUUUCUCAUGUUCAACAAGAUAUCAAAGCAUUUCUAUACAAAUUUACAGAACUAUGAGAAAGUUACAACGAGAUCCUACACUUUGGGGGUGGGGCGAAAGCUGGGAAGAUGGCCCGAGUGGUUUCCUUCGUACUUCUAUGGCCUGGGGGCGAAAAACAAGGUUAAAAUUGUGAGUGGACAAAAAUAAAAUUCUUUAAAACAAAAACAAGUUAGAACAUAAUAACCCCCGUUUUGAAAUACUAGGGAUAUAAAUCGUUAAUUUAGCUAUAUUUCAAUAUAAGGAAUUCAAUAAACAUGAAUAAAUAUACUGACGAAUAAACUUGCAUAACUGAUCAAAUAUAUAUAAAGAUAAUAACGCAUGAAUAUCAAGAAACUGGUAUAAAAUCACGGGAAAUCAUAACUGGAUAAAAGAGCUCAAAAUCCUUUGAAACUACCACCUAGAUGUACCCCUGUCAUAUCCGUCAAUUCCCCUGGCAGGUCUCGGGCGUCACGCAGUCUACCCGAGCCGCAAACUGGCGAAAUCAAGGGACUAUGAUCAGCCUGAUCCGCCGGCAGGUCUCGAUGACACCAAGUCGACUCGAGCCGCUCUGGCAGGAUGCAGGGGACCGCAGUCAGCCUGAUCCGCAAUCCUGGCAGGUCUCGGGGACACAGAGUCAGCCGAGCCGCAAAUCCUGGCAGGUCUCGGGACACCAAGUCUGCCGAGCCGCAAAUUCUGGCACUCACGGUCCGAGCGUCCCCGAAACUCGUGAGGCAAAGUCAAGUGCACUGACGUAACUGAAAUCAGACUGGAUGUUCGUAGACAUCGGUCCGACUGUGGGUAAUCACCAUAAAUAGAUGGGUACAUGGUGGUUUAACAAGAAAUUCUGAUAACUCUCUGAAAUCUGAUAAGUCUGAACUAAAUUACUAUCUUUGUAUCAAAAGUCUCAAGUUUACUGCUCAACCAAUAUUAUAAAAAUAAAGAUAUUUCACAAUGCAAAUCAUGCUUCGAAAUUACGUAAUAACACUUAUUCAAGAUCAAAUAGAAAAUAUAAUUAUAAAAUCUUUUAGGAAAGAAAAGUCCACUCACUGUUGGUCCGAGCUAUCUGGACCCUUCGAAGAUCCCUCAUGUGGGUCAACUGGACCUCUGGUGCCUUACUCGAUUGAUUUGGUGGAGAAUUGAAGGAGAACGAAGGAGAUGAAGUUUGGAUGAAAAACAGGCGGAAAUCGCCAGUUUCCGGCCAAUUCCCGGCGGUCCAAGGCCGGCGACGGGUCGAGGAAGGGAGGCGGCGGCGAGGCGGACCGAUUGACACCAACGGCGGAGGUCGCCGUGCCCUGUAGCGACGGCACGCUCGAUCUGAAACAGGGAGGGGGGCGGCGGUUGCGACGGGAGAGAGAGAGAGAGAGGAGAGAGAAAUGAGGAGAGAGAAGAGAGAAGGAAGAGAUAAAAUCUGACUUUUUUUUCAAAUUACCGUUUUGCCCUUCGAGGUAAUUUAAUCGUAUCUUCUUCAUUACAAUUCCAAUUCGGGUCUACUCCGUGUCUACGGACUCGUUUCGCCGUGCUCUACGCAACGGCGCAAGCGAAAUUCUCAAAUUCUUUCUUGAUCAAAAAGUCAAAUUUUCCCCUAUUAAAAUAUGCGAGGGCAAAAUCGUCUUUUGGGUAGAAUAAAGAAAUCCUAAUUUUUAGAUAUUUUAGUUUGGGUUAUUACAGUGGGGGGUGGAGAGAUGAUGGGAGGUCGAUUUAACAGGGUUAAGUGUUGUUAAGUGGUUUACCACAUGUCAAAAAAAUAGAAGGAAAACAUGUCGGGCACAUGGCAUUUGGUAACAGUAAAAUUGGACUCAUGAAUGAGUUAGGUGUUGUGUGAUAGAGUGUAUUAGGGUGUACCAUGGGUAUUUUUAGUAGUUAAAUAGGAUGUACUGAGUUAAUUUUAUAAUUUGAUUUAAAUAUUAGGGUAUACUUAGAUCAUAGGGUGUACUCAGUUAAUUUUAAGGUUUGUUUAGCAACAUUCUAAUGUUUUGUUAUCCCCGGUCAAUAAUUUUAUAUCGUGUGGCUUAGAAGGAGGCCUGUUAUCCAACUCAUCUGGUCCACCGUCCAUGAUAUGAACCCGACUUGAGAAUCUUUUGGUGAAGUAGAACAACCCAACUUGAGAGUUGAGGCAGCCAAACUAGAAGGGAAGCAUCCCCACUCCAGUCCCGCUCCCCAUGUGCCCAAUACUUUGCUUGUUUACUUCACCUUUUAAACCUUUUAGGAUUUUCCAUAGGCUAAGAGGAAAACAACAACAUUACGGCCCAGUUUACGAAUGGAUUCGAGGGGAAAUUACUUCCCAUGCCAUUUUUUAAGGGAUGGAAAAUGGAGAUUCAUUUCCCAUAUUUGAUAAUCCUAGGAAAGUAACUAAGAAAUACUACUUUAUUUCCUUUCACAUAUUUGGUUUGUGUAGGAAUGUAAAACAAAGUUAGUUUAAUUUUUCAAUUAUAUCCAUAUGAAAUUAAAUUUUAAAAAAAAUGUAUUUAAUGCUAUAUUGUUAAUGGGGACAAUAUGGUCAUGAAAAAUGUGUAUUUAAUGUUGGCUAAUUUUCUCAAACUUUCUCAUGUGCAAGACAACGAUUUCUCAUGCCUAGACUUACCAAAUAUGGGAAAGCAAUUGAUUUCUCAUCACCAAGCCUCCUUUCCCAUGAACCAAACAGGACCUACAAGUUAUUAGCUUCAAGCCUUCAAGGAUUUUCAUAACAAAUCUUCCAAUCUCACACAAAAAUAAAAAAGCAUCCAUGUAUGUAAUUUCUAGAUUAAAAUCUCACUUUUUAGGCAUUCCAUUUUCUUAGGAUUAGGUAUUACUACGCACGGACAAUCUUACGAUUAUCUGCAAUUCAUCCUUCAAUAGCUAUGGACGUUAUAUCAAAUCAACAAUAAGACGUACAUUUCUUCAAAGAACUAAAUCAUGCGGAUGUCAACUUGCUCUCACUUAUAUGUUUGUCUCUCCAUAUGAGGAAGGGUGUUUAGCUUAAGGUUUUAGGGCGCGGUUGUCUAAGAACAAUAAGGUGAACAUGUUUUGUCAAAGUACAUGGGAGACCUUUAUCUUCAAACACAAAAAAUGGCCAAAAUUAAAUUAGCAAGGAUCGACAUAUGGAUGUGAGCUUUUACACAUUGCCACUAAUUCUCUCCAUACUUUUGUUGAAAUCAUUUACAAAAUAAGAAAACUUUAGUAAUUGAAGCGAAAGAGAAGAAUUACCAGAACAGAAAAUAAGAAAAAAGAAGCACCUAACCCAAACUUUAAGUCACGAAUUUAACAGUUUACUUUUUAAAAAAAGUAAGUUACAAAACAAUCCCCUUAUUGAUGAGGAUUGAGAAUUUAAGAGCACUAAUAACUUGAGUGAGGAAUAUUGCACAUGGACGAUGGAUCUCUCUCUCUCUCUUUGAAAAAAAAGAAAAAAGAAACAAAAAUCAACUUCAUUAUCCUUAGUGAAUUUGUUCUGGAUUAGUUGUGUUGCAAUGGAACAUCGAACCUACCUAGCUAAAAGGAAAAAAGAAAGGCCACUACGACAGUACUGCAGUAUAUUAUUCCAAGAAGACAAAUGUAAACUAUAUACGUGAAGAAUAUCUAUUAUUGGUCGUCAUUUUCAAUCCUCAUAAAAGAAAACUUACUUCGCCAUAAUUUCAGGUUGUUCUCAAGGCAGGAAGGUAAGGACACUUGAAAAGAUUCCUUCUCAUCAUCUAUACAAGGAAAUGUGUUCUCAUCAAGCUAGGGGACAAGGCAAAUUAGCAACCUUUAUACUCGAUAUAUUAUUCCAAGCAGAUAUACAUGUGAAGAAUAUUAUGAUCUUGAUCAAUAUGGAAUCAGUGGGUGUAUCGAUCGACCAUCCAAAGAAAAAGGAUAUCCUCUGCAUAUAUGUGUGCAUGCCAACAACUAUAAAAGGAGACCAUGAGGCAAUGAGUUGAUCAUCAAAGCAAACACACAGAUAUCCCAACUAAAAAUCAUUCAGUGAGACAAUGGCUGGAACCAAUGAUAUUAAAAUUAAAGGGUUCGAUUUGAGCAAAAACAGCGGCAACACGUCCGGAUUAACCCACUUCGCCAACAGAGCUGACGAGGGCGACAAGGGCGACAAUAAAAUCGAGGUUGAGGAUGCUAAAGCGCAAGAUAACAAGGGAAACUUGAAAGUACUGACCGACUUCGCCCAACGUGGUAAGGUGGGCCAGUCGGAUCGCCAAGAAAUCACGGGGAGCAAGCCACUUCAGACGGCAGCAUGAAAUUGAUGAAGGCCAUACCAUAAUAAAAUAUCUACACUAAAAUAAGAGCUGAUGCAGUAUCUGAGGCUCCUUCCUUGGUUAGGCCUCAUUAUCAUGUGCAAUACUAAUAUUAUUAUUCUAAUAAAAUAAUGGUAGCUUAUUAUUAAAUAUAUCAAAAUUCUAUACGUAUAACUUUUAGAUUAUUGAUACUGAUGACAUACCAACAAGAGAAAACGAUUCAAAAGUCCUUUCUCCAAUUCGUGAUGUUACAAAAUGAGACGUCAAAUUUAAAAAUAUAGUUGCAUACGAGUAUAAACUGAACCAAUAAGCAAUGUAUGAGUGACCAAAGGUCUCAAACGAUGCAUUUAAGAAGAAGGGUACUAAAUUAAAAGAUGUACGCCAGUGAACUAUGGCAAUCUCUCGUUGCAUGCACGCAUAUGCAAUUGAAGAAGACCUAACUUAUAUCACGAAGAAGUGGAUGGGUCUUUACAUAUGAAGUUUUUAAAAUUAACACUACCGGAAGACAAUAGGAGUAUCGGCGUAUCUGAUACAAGUAUCGGAGUCUCGGAGUAUUAGAUUUGAGCAUACCUGUCCAAAUAGGAGUAUCGGUGCAACAUAGAUGAAAAGGAAUUGGAUGUGAUUUCACAUAUUUUUAAAGAACAGGGGAAAUAAACCAAUUAAUCUCUUUCGUCUUGUCCACACAUUUCUUGUUGCAAAUUUUGGUUUUCAAAAAAUUUGGCAUUUCAAGCAACUUGGAAAACAUUUUGAUGAUCCAUUAUUGAACCUCUAAAGUCGAUAUUCAAUCCCUAUCGACCUUGCUCAAAAAAUGUCUCAUUUCAAUUAGUGCAGAGAAAAAUAAAGGCAGAGUUGAAAAUAGAUUUUUCAGUUUGGAAAGUGACAUUGAGAUGUAAAAAGACUAGACAUUAAGGUGGCAAGAGAGAUCUAACAGGAUCAGACAAAAAAGGAAAAAAAAAUGAAUGAAAAAUAGAAAAUGCCCUAGAAAGGGGAGAACAACUUAGUUGCAAUGGGGAUAACAAUAUCUUGCUAUUACUGGUCAAUAAUUUUAUACCACGUGGCCUAGAAGGAGGCCUGUUAGUCCAACUCAUCUGGUCCACUUCCCAUUAUAUGAACCCGACUUGAGAGUUUUGGUUUUUUGGUUGAAGUAGAACAACCCGACUUGAGAAUUGAGGCAGCCAAACUAGAAGGGAAGCAGCCCACUCCACUCCCGCUCCCCAUGUGCCCAGUACUUCGCUUGUUUACUUCACCUUUUAAACCUUUUAGGAUUUUUUUUAUAGGAUAAGAGGAAAACGACGACAUUACAAGUUAUUACGCAUCAACGUAUGUAAUUUCUAGAUUAAAAUCUCACUUUUUACGCAUGUCAUUAUCUUAGGAUUAUGUAUUACUACGCACUGACAAUCUUACGAUUAUCUGCAAUUCAUCCUUCAAUGACCAAAGACGUUAUAUCAAAUCAACAAUAAGACAUACAUUUCUCCAAAUAACUAAAUUAUGUGGAUUUCAACUUGCUCUCAUUUAUAUGUUUGUCUCUCUCCUCCUAUUGAUUAGCCUCUCCAUAAGAGCAAAUAUGAAAAAAGAAGCUCCCAAUCCGAACUUUAAGUCACAAGUUUAACAGUUUACUUUUAAACAAAAGCAAGUUACGAAACAAUCCCCUGAUUUCCUUGUUAAACAUCAACCGACCCAUUAUUGAUGAGGAUUGAGAAUCUAAGAGCAUAUGGACGAUGGAUCUCUCUCUCUUUUUGAAAACAAAAACAAAAACAAAAAACAAAAAUCAACUUCAUUAUCCUUGGUGAAUUUGUUCUGGAUUAGUUGUUUUGAAUUAGUACAGCUUACGUACGCAAUGGAACAUCGAACUUAGCUAGCUAAAAGGAAAAAAGAAAGGCCACUACUACAGUACCGCAGUAUAUUAUUCCAAGAAGACAAAUGUAAACUAUAUACGUGAAGAAUCUCUAGUAUUGGUCGUCAUUUUCAAUCCUUAUAAAAGAAAGCUUGCUUCGCCAUAAUUUCAGGUUGUUCUCAAGGCAGGCAGAGAGAGUACGUAGCUUGGCAAGAAAGGUAAGGGCACUUCAAAAGAUUGUUUCUCAUCAUCUAUAUGAGGAAAUGUGUUGCCAUCAAGCUAGCGGACAAGGCAAAUUAGCAACCUUUAUACUCGAUAUAUUAUUCCAAGCAGAUAUACAUGUAAAUAUAUGUGAAGAAUAUUAUGAUCAUGAUCAAUAUAGAAUCUGUAUCAUGAUCAGAGGGUAUCGAUCCAGCAUCCAAAGAAAAAGGAUAUACUCUGCAUAUGUGCAUGCCAACAACUAUAAAAGGAGACCAUGAGGCAAUGAGUCGAUCAUCAACGGAAACACACAGAUAUCCCAACUAAAAAUCCAUCGUGAGACAAUGGCUGGAACCAAUGAUAUUAAAAUUAAGGGGUUUGAUUUGAGCAACAACAAAGGCAACACGUCGGGAUUAACCCACUUCGCCAACAGAGCUGACGGGGGCGACAAUGGCAACAAUAAAAUCGAGGUUGAGGAUGCUAAAGGGCAAGGGAACACGGGAAACUUGAAAGUACUGACCGACUUCGCCCAACGCGGUAAAGUGGGCCAGUCGGAUCGCCAAGAACUACUCAAACCUCAGGCAUGAAAUUGAAGAAGGCCAGACCACAACAACUUGUCUGCUUGAUAGAUAUAUGUGCUAAAUUAUCUACACAAAAAUAAGAGCUGAUGUUUUAUCUGAGGCUCCUUCCUUGGUUAGGCCUCGUUAUCAUGUGUAAUAUUAAUAUUAUUAUUCUAAUAAAAUAAUGGUAGCUUAUUAUUAAAUAUAUCAAAAUUCUAUACGUAUAACUUUUAGAUUAUUGAUACUGAUGUCAACAAGAGAAAAUGAUUAAAAAGUCCUUUCUCCAAUUCGUGAUGUUACAAAAUGAGACUUCAAAUUUUAAAACUAUAGUUGCAUACGAGUACAAAACUGAACCAAACAAUGUAUGGGCCAGAGUGACCAAGGAUGUACGCCAGUGAACUAAUGGCAAUCUCUCGUUGCAUGCACGCAUAUGCAAUUGAAGGAGGCAUUAUCUGAGGCUCCUUCCUUGGCUAGGCCUCAUUUUCAAUUUUGAUUUCAACUUUGAUUUUGCUUAAACUUUGAUUUUGAGCUAGACUGUGAUUUCGACUUUGAUCUCCCAAUUCGUGCCUUAAGAAUCAGUUUCUCCCAACUCUAUUUACCAAAACCGAAAACUCUGAACUUUUCAAUUCGUCUGGCUACUCUCAGGGUUUCAUGCCUUAGUUUCCUCUCGCCAAAAAGCCAAAAAGACUUGGCUUUCAUGUAAUGCUAUACUCCUCGAUUGAACAAGCCGCGUCUUCAAAUUCAGCUUUCUCACUUCCUUUCUCUUUACUUUCUUUCUUUUGUUUUCCGGCUGGGAAAAUCAUGGAAGCAUUACAAAUUUAAGAGAAUAUUCUAGUAUUAGGGUCCAAACUGUACUAUUUAGGUAUUUUCAUUCUGAUUAAGAGUUCUUUUCUAGAAAUUUGGGGAAGAAAAAAUAGAGUUUCUGUUUUAGUGUUUGAUUUUCAUUACAGUGAAUUAUGUGAAACCGAAAUGUUUCUUGUCUGAUUUCAUCACUGCUUUCAAAUUGCAAAUUAAGGAUUUGAAGGUUAACAAUGCCCGUCUUUAACAAUGUCGCAUUUCAAUUAGUACAAAAGAAAAAUAAAGGCAUAGUUGAAAAUAGAUUUUUCAGUUUCGAAAGUGACAUUGAGAUUUAAAAAGACUAGACAUUAAGAUGGCAAGAGAGAUCUAAAAGGAUCAAACAAAAAAAGUGAAUGAAAAAUUGAAAAUGCCCUAGAAAGGGAGGAAAUCUUAGUUGCAAUGGGGAUAACAAUGUUUUGCUAUCCUCGAACAAUAAUUUUACACCACGUGACCUAGAAGGAGGCAUGUUAAUCUAACUCAUCUGGUCCACCGUCCAUGAUAUGAACCCGACUUGUGAGUUUUUUUUUUUUUUUGUUGAAGUAGAACAACCAAACUUGAGAGUUGAUGUCACAUCUCAGGAUCGGCUUCACCGUAGCACGAUAUUGUCUGCUUUGGGCCCCCUCGCUGUCCUCGCGGUUUUGUUUCUAGGAGCUCACGAGCAACUUCUCAGUUGGUCACUCAUCUUAGGAUUGCUCUGGCCCAAACUCACUUAACUUCGGAGUUCUCAUGACUCCGAAGCUAGUGAGCUCCUAAAAGGCCUCGUACUAAAUGGAAGUGGGCAUAUAUAUAUAAGGCACAACACCCCAUCUUCGUUGGUUGAUGUGGAAUGUUACAAUCCACCCCCCUUAGAGGUCUGACUUCCUCGUCGGCACACUCUCACCACACGGCAGAGUGGCUCUGAUACCAAACUGUCACAUCCCGGGAACGGCUCCGUCGUAGCACGAUAUUGUCCGCAUUGGGCCAACCUUUCUGCCCUCACGGUUUUGUUACUGGGAGCUCACGAGCAACUUCCCAGUGAAUCACUCAUCCUGGGAUUGCUCUAGCCCAAACUCGCUUCACUUCGGAGUUCCUAUGACUCCGAAGCCAAUUAGCUCCCAAAAGACCUCGUGCUAGAUAAAGGUGGGCACGUACAUAUAAGGCACAUCACCUUCUCUUCGUUGAUCGAUGUGGGAUGUUACAGUUGAGGGCUCCGUUGGUCGAUGUAGGAUGUUACAGUUGAGGCAGCCAAACUAGAAGGGAAGCAACCCAACUCCACUCCCUCUCCCCAUGUGCCCAGUUCUCUGCUCGUUUACUUCACCUUUUAAACAUUUUAGGAUUUUCCAUAAGCAAAGAGGAGAACGACCACAUUACGGUCUCGUUUGGUUCACGAACAGAUUUAAGGGGAAAUAACUUCUCAUGUCAUUUCUCAAGGGAUGAGAAAUGGAGAUUCAUUUCCCAUAUUUGGUAAUCCUAGGAAAAUAACAAAGAAAUACCACUUUAUUUCCUUUCACAUGUUUGGUUUGUCUAGGAAUGUAAAACAAAGUUUGUUUAAUUUUCCAAUUAUACCGAUAUGAAAUCAAAUAAAAAAAGAAUAUUUAAUGUUAUAUUGUAAUUCUAAACUGUUAAUAGGGACAAUAUGAUCAUGAAAAAUGUGUAUUUAAUGUUGGCUCAUUUGCUUAUUUUCCCAAACUUUCACAUGAGGAGGAAAACAAAACCCAAGGGGGGAGGAUGGCUUCACUUUCCCCUCUACUUUCCCAUGUACAAGGCAACGAUUUCUCAAGUCUGGACUUACCAUACAUGGGAAAGAAAUUAAUUUCUCAUCCCCAAGUCAUUUUUCCCAUAAACCAAACGGAGCCUACAGGUUAUAAGCUUCAACCUUUAAGGAUUUUCAUAACAAAUCUUGCAAUCUCAUACCAAGGAAAUAAAAAUAAAAAAAAGGAUCCAUGCGUGUAAUUUCUAGAUUAAAAUCUCACUUUUUACGCAUGCCAUUAUCUAAGGAUUAGGUAUGACUACACACGAACAAUCUUACAAUUAUCUGCAAUUCGUCCUUCAAUGGCCAAAGACGUUAUAUCAAAUGAACAAUAAGACGUACAUUUCUUCAAAGAACUAAAUUAUGUGGAUUUCAACUUGCUCUCACUUAUAUGUUUCUCUCUCUCCUCCUAUUGUUUAGCUUAAGGUUUUAGGGCGUGGUUGUCUAAGAACAAUAAGGUAAACAUGCUUACAAAAAAAGAUGGACAGCAAGGAUGGACAUAUGCGAAUGUGAGCUUUUACACAUUGCCACUAAUUUUCUCCAUGAUUUUGUUGAAAUCAUUAACAAAAUAAGAAACUUUAGUAAUUGAAGCGAAAGAGACUAAUUAUCAGAAGAGAAAAUAUGAAAAAAGAAGCUCCCAAUCCAAACUUUAAGUCACAAGUUUAACAGUUUACUUUAAAACAAAAGCAAGUUACGAAACAAUCCCCUGAUUUCCUUGUUAAACAUCAACCGACCCAUUAUUGAUGAGGAUUGAGAAUCUAAGAGCAUAUGGACGAUGGAUCUCUCUCUCUUUUUGAAAACAAAAACAAAAACAAAAAUCAACUUCAUUAUCCUUAGUGAAUUUGUUCGGGAUUAGUUGUGUUGAAUUAGUACAGCUUACUUACGCAAUCGAAUAUCAAACCUAGCUAGCUAAAAAGAGAAAAAGAAAGGCCACAACGACAGUACUGUAGUAUACGUGAAGAAUCUUAUGAUCUAUAAUAUUCUGUAUUAUUGGCCAUCAUUUUCAAUCCUUAUUAAAGAAAACUUGCUUCGCCAUAAUUUCAAGUUGUUCUGAAGGCAGGCAUAGAGAGCACGUAGCUUGGCAAGGGAGGUAAGGGCACUUCGAAAGAUUCCUUCUCAUCAUCUAUACAAGGAAAUGUGUUCUCAUCAAGCUACGGGACAAGGCAAAUUAGCAACCUUUAUACUCAGAUAUAUUAUUCCAAGCAGAUAAACAUGUAAAUAUAUGUGAAGAAUAUUAUGAUAAUGAUCAAUAUAGAAUCUGUAACAUUAUCAGAGGGGUAUCGAUCGACCAUCCAAAGAAAAGGAUAUCCUCUGCAUAUGUGCAUGCCAACAACUAUAAAAGGAGACCAUGAGGCAAUGAAUCAUCAAAGCAAAGACACAGAUAUCCCAACUAAAAAUCAAUCAGUGAGACAAUGGCUGGAACUGGAACCAAUGAUAUUAAAAUUAAAGGGUUCGAUUUGAGCAACAACAGCGGCAACACGUCGGGAUUAACCCACUUCGCCAACAGAGCUGAUGGGGGCGACAAGGGCGACAAUAAAAUCGAGGUUGAGGGUGCUAAAGCGCAAGAUAACAAGGGAAACUUGAAAGUACUUACCGAUUUCGCCCAACGCGGUGAAGUGGGCAGGUCGGAUCGCCAAGAACUUCUCAAGCCUCAGGCAUGAAAUUGAAGAAGGCCAUACCAUAUAUGUGCUGAAUUAUCUACACAAAAAUAAGAGCUGAUGUUUUAUCUGAGGCUCCUUCCUUGGUUAGGCCUCGUUAUCAUGUGUAAUAUUAAUAUUAUUAUUCUAAUAAAAUAAUGGCAGCUUAUUAUUAAAUAUAUCAAAAUUCUAUACGUAUAACUUUUAGAUUCUUGAGUGGGAAACCCUAGCUGCAUUCUGGUCCCUUUUCUUCUUGCCGACAACCAACCACAAGGAAACUAAAGGGGGAGGUGGCCACUGCCCCUCCCCCCCUUCGCCCAUCUUCCCUUUCUCUCCUCAUCUUCCCUUCUUUUUCUCCCAUCUUUUCCCUUCCUCUUAUGCCCUCUUCUCUUCCCAUUCCCUUUCCCAUAUAGUCUAGAUCUAUUUGGAUCUAGGUUUUGUUUGUUUGUUUGUUUGGUUUGGUUUGGUUGUUUUUGCAGUAUUCUAGGUGACUGGUAGUGACGUUGGAUUGUGUCUAUUAUCGGGAGAGUUGUGAUACCUAGUGGCUGAUGUUUUGUCUCUGUUUCAACGACGGCGGCAGUAGCGACACUAGUGAUAGUUAUUGGAUGUGGUGCUCUUCUUUAUUCUGCACUUACCGAAGAACUAUGCUUGGUCAUAGGAGGUUUUCUUUGUCAGAUUCUGAGUUGAAGUGGAGUGCUUCUUAGGGGUCCUUUUAUUGUUGCUUCUAUGUUCCUCCUCUGUGUUCUCUCCUGUUUUCUGUUAUGGUAUGCCUUGUAGUUUGUAUGGGUGUCAAAAUACUAUGAUUUUGCUCAUAGAAGGCUUCUUUUGACAGUUGGGAUAUUCUACGAUCCUCUUCUGUGGGUUUACUAUUUGGGGUUUCUGUCGUUCUCUCAUGUGGGUGUACUAUGUUGGUAUCUAGUUGAGGUUUUCGUCGGAGUUCUUUUUGUUAGUUUUCGUUUUUGAUUUGUUCUUUUAUUGUAAUGGUCCAAAGCGACCAGAAUUAAACUCUCUUGUUAGUCCAUGACAUGUGUGGUACUCUUUUCUCCCCGGGGUUUGUCCCUUGAGAUUGCCCUAGGAAGGUUUUAACGAGGCCACUAUAUCAUGUUGCUCAUUGUACGUCUUUGGUUCUAUUAAUUAAUUCUCUUUCUUAAAAAUAACAAAAAUAAAUAAAUAAAUAAAUAAAAAUUUAGAUUAUUGAUAACGAUGUCAACAAGAGAAAAUGAUUAAAAAGUCCUUUCUCCAAUUCGUGAUGUUACAAAAUGAGACUUCAAAUUGUAAAACUAUAGUUGGAUACGAGUAUAAAACUGAACCAGGCAAUGUAUGGGCCAGAGUGACCAAGGUUGUACGACAGUGAACUAAUGGCAAUUUCUCGUUGCAUGCACGCAUAUGCAAUUGAAGAAUGCCAUAAUAAUAUGUGUUUUUACUAAAUUAUCUACACUAAAAUAAAAACUGAGGCAUUAUCUGAGGCUCUUUCCUUGGCUAGGCCUCAUUUUCAAUUUUGAUUUCAACUUUGAUUUCGCUUAAACUUUGAUUUUGAGCUAGACUGUAAUUUCGACUUUGAUUCUGAUUCUCUCCCAAUUCAUGCCUUAAGAAUCAGUUUCUCCCAACUCUAUUUACCAAAACCAAAAACUCUAAACUUUUCAAUUCGUCUGGGUACUCUCAGAGUUUCAUGCCCUAGUUUCCUCUCGCCAAAAAGCCAAAAAGACUUGGCUUUCAUGUAAUGCUAUACUCCUCGAUUGAACAAGCUGCGUCUUCAAAUUCAACUUUCUCACUUCCCUUCUCUUUACUUUCUUUUCUUUUGUUUUCCAGCCCGGAAAAUCAUGGAAGCAUUACAAAUUUAAGAGAAUAUUCUAGUAUUAGGGUCCAAACUGUACUAUUUAGGUAUUUUCAUUCUGAUUAAGAGUUCUUUUCUAGAAAUUUGGUGAAGAAAAAAUAGAGUUUCUGUUUUAGUGUUUGAUUUUCAUUAUAGUGAGUUAUGUGAAAUCGAAAUGUUUCUUGUGUGAUUUCAUCACUGCUUUCAAAUUGCAAAUUAAGGAUUUGAAGGUUACAAAUUAUUAUGUAGAUAAUUUUUGGGAAUUUAAGAGGCAGUACAGUGUUUGUAUAAGUCUUGAGAUAGACCAAUUUACCACAUGCUCGAUUUCUAUAUAUAAAUUUUUUUAAAUCAUUCUUUUGUUUUAUUUAUUCUGUUAAUUUGUCAUAAUGUGUAAUAUGAUAGCUUCUAAUUCUUUCUUCCUAUUUCUUCUUUUUUGUUAUUCUCUCCCAAAUGAAAUGAAGACCUAACUUAUAUCAAGAAGAAGAGGAUGGAUCCUUACAUAUGAAGAUUUUAAAAUUAACAUUAUUGGAAGACAGUAGGAGUAUCGGCAAUUUGAUACAAGUAUCGGAGUAUCAAAUACGAGCAUGCCCGUCUUUAACAAUGUCUCAUUUCAAUUAGUACAAAAGAAAAAUAAAGGCAGAGUUCAAAAUAGAUUGUUCAGUUUCGAAAGUGACAUUGAGAUUUAAAAAGACUAGACAUUAAGAUGGCAAGAGAGAUCUAAAAGGAUCAAACAAAAAAAAUGAAUGAAAAAUUGAAAAUGCCCUAGAAAGGGAGGAAAUCUUAGUUGCAAUGGGGAUAACAGUAUUUUGCUAUCCUCGAUCAAUAAUUUUAUACCACGUGACCUAAGGAGGCAUGUCAAUCUAGCUCAUCUGGUCCACCGUCCAUGAUAUGAACUCGACUUGAGAGUUUUUUUUUUUUUUUUUUUUUUUUUUUGGGGUUGAAGUAGAACAACUAGACUUGAGAGUUGAUGUCACAUCUCAAGGUCGGUUCCACCGUAGCACGAUAUUGUCUGCUUUGGGCCCCCUCUUUGUCCUCGCGGUUUUGUUUUUAGGAGCUCACGAGCAACUUCCCAGUUGGUCACCCAUCUUGGGAUUGCUCUAGCCCAAACUCACUUAACUUCGGAGUUCUCAUGACUUCGAAAUCAGUGAGCUCCCAAAAGGCCUCGUGCUAAAAGGAGGUGGGCAUAUACAUAUAAGGCGCAACACCCCCUCUCCGUUAGUCGAUGUGGAAUGUUACAAUCCACCCCCUUUAGAGGUCCGACGUCCUCGUCGGCACAGUCUCACCACACGGCAGAGUGGCUCUAUGCCAAAUUGUCGCAUUCCGGGAUCGGCUCCGUCGUAACACGAUAUUGUCCGCGUUGGGUCAACCUCUCUGCCCUCACGAUUUUGUUUCUGGGAGCUUACGAGCAACUUCCCAGUAGAUCACUCAUCCAAACUCGCUUAACUUCGGAGUUCCCAUGACUCCGAAGCCAGUGAGCUCCCAAAAGACCUCGUGCUAAAUGGAGGUAGGCAUGUACAUAUAAGGCACAUCACCUCCGCUCCGUUGGUCGAUGUGGGAUGUUACAGUUGAGGGCUCCGUUGGUCGAUGUACGAUGUUACAGUUGAGGGCUCCGUUGGUCGAUGUAGGAUGUUAUAGUUGAGGCAGCCAAAAUAGAAGGGAAGCAACCCUACUCCACUCCCUCUCCCCAUGUGCCCAGUUCUCUACUCGUUUACUUCACCUUUUAAACCCCUUCGUACUUGAAGACCUGGCUGGCAAUUUGAUUGAAGCGAAAGAGACUAAUUAUCCAUGCUUUUGUUGAAAUCAUUAACAAAAUAAGAAACUUUAGUAAUUGAAGCGAAAGAGACUAAUUAUCAAAACAGAAAAUAUGAAAAAAGAAGCUCCCAAUCCGAACUUUAAGUCACAAGUUUAACAGUUUACUUUAAAACAAAAGCAAGUUACGAAACAAUCCCCUUAUUUACUUGUUAAACAUCAACCGACCCAUUAUUGAUGAGGAUUGAGAAUCUAAGAGCACAUGGACGAUGGAUCUCUCUCCCUUUUUGAAAACAAAAACAAAAACCAACUUCAUUAUCCUUAGUGAAUUUGUUCUGGAUUAGUUGUGUUGCAAUGGAACAUCGAACCUACCUAGCUAAAAGGAAAAAAGAAAGGCCACUACGACAGUACUGCAGUAUAUUAUUCCAAGAAGACAAAUGUAGACUAUAUACGUGAAGAAUAUCUAGUAUUGGUCGUCAUUUUCAAUCCUCAUAAAAGAAAACUUACUUCGCCAUAAUUUCAGGUUGUUCUCAAGGCAGGAAGGUAAGGACACUUGAAAAGAUUCCUUCUCAUCAUCUAUAUAAGGAAAUGUGUUCUCAUCAAGCUAGGGGACAAGGCAAAUUAGCAACCUUUAUACUCGAUAUAUUAUUCCAAGCAGAUAUACAUGUGAAGAAUAUUAUGAUCUUGAUCAAUAUGGAAUCUGUAUCAUGAUCAGUGGAUGUAUCGAUCGACCAUCCAAAGAAAAAGGAUAUCCUCUGCAUAUAUGUGUGCAUGCCAACAACUAUAAAAGGAGACCAUGAGGCAAUGAGUUGAUCAUCAAAGCAAACACACAGAAAUCCCAACUAAAAAUCAAUCAGUGAGACAAUGGCUGGAACUGGAACCAAUGAUAUUAAAAUUAAAGGGUUCGAUGUGAGCAACAACAGCGGCAACACGUCGGGAUUAACCCACUUCGCCAACAGAGCUGCCGAGGGCGACAAGGGCGACAAUAAAAUCGAGGUUGAGGAUGCUAAAGGGCAAGGGAACACGGGAAACUUGAAAGUACUGACCGACUUCGCCCAACGCGGUAAAGUGGGCCAGUCGGAUCGCCAAGAACUUGUCAAACCUCAGGCAUGAAAUUGAAGAAGGCCAUACCAUAACCACUUGUCUGCUUGAUAGAUAUAUGUGCUAAAUUAUCUACACAAAAAUAAGAGCUGAUGUUUUAUCUGAGGCUCCUUCCUUGGUUAGGCCUCGUUAUCAUGUGUAAUAUUAAUAUUAUUAUUCUAAUAAAAUAAUGGUAGCUUAUUAUUAAAUAUACCCAAAUACUAUACGUAUAACUUUUAGAUUAUUGAUACUGGUGUCAACAAGAGAAAAUGAUUAAAAAGUCCUUUCUCGCAUUCGUGAUGUUAGAAAAGAUACUUCAAUUUCAAAACUAUAAAUUGCACACGAGUACAAAACUGAACCAAAUAUGAAGUAAUGUAUCGGAAACUUGACUAAAUAGAAUACAACAUAUAUAUCGAAAUAUUUUUAUUAUAAAUGGUCUCUAAGGUUCGUGAAAUUAUUAGCUUUAGUCCUUCAUGUUUUUUUGUGACAUCAUUGGUCCUUUAUGUUACUCCUCCUCGCACAUCAAUUUGGUUUUGCCGUUUGAAUUCGUCAAAAUUUAUGUUAAAUUGAUGGCAUGGCAUGUAUAUGGUGCCCACAUAUCCAAUGAGAUAAUGACCCGUAGAUCUAAGUAAAAAAUUUGUUUUAAAAAAAUAGUUUCAUAUUUAAAAUUGUUAAAGGGCGAAGACUCAUUGGGUAACUCGAAGUUUGGGUUGUUGAAGCCUUCAAGCAUGGUUUUGCUCACAAAAGAUUGGAACGCAUUGUGUUGGGUUGAGCACUGAAAACCAAAGAAUAUCAAAAAUGUAGAGAGAGAGAGAGAGAGAGNNNNNNNNNNNNNNNNNNNNNNNNNNNNNNNNNNNNNNNNNNNNNNNNNNNNNNNNNNNNNNNNNNNNNNNNNNNNNNNNNNNNNNNNNNNNNNNNNNNNGGGUGGAGUGGGGGUGGGGUUGGGGUGUGGGUUGCUGCUGGGGGAGACGGAAGGGGAAGGGAGGGGAACGAAGGAGAAGGGGAGGGGUGGCUGUAGGUUUUAUUUAUUUAUUUUAUAUUUAUAAAUUUAAAAUUUGAUGUUUUAUUCUUAAUCUUUUAAAUGGAUUUUAUGUUUAAAAUUAUUGUAUUAUAUUUGAAGACACGUGACUCUAAAUGAUUGGAUGUGUGGACUUCACAUAUAUCUCAUGUCAGCAACUUAAUAGAAAAUUUGACGGACCCUAACGGCAGGGAUCAAAUUGAUGUGUGGUGUGUAACAAAAAGGAUCAAUAAUGUCACAAAAAACAUAAAGGACCAAAGUUGAUAAUUUUGCGAACCUUAUACACCAUUUGUGAUAAAAACCUUAUAUUGUAUAAUUUUAGUGUGUUUUUUUCUUAAAUGCUAUUGAGAAGAGGUUUUAUAAAACUGCUAUAUAAAAGGUUCACCACAAUGCUAUAAAACAAUAGUAGAUUAUGGCUCUCAGAUGUUUUCAUCUUCUUAUUCAUCCAAGCAGAUCGAUAACAUAUGGUCACUACUGACUUUUUCUUGUAGUUCUCAACAUCCAUCUUUCAAGCCAUCAACCAAGUUGUUGCAUUGCUCCUCACUGUUAGAAAAGCCUCGUUUCCCUCCUCCUCCUCCAUUGAUUGAAGGAGAGACAACAAAAGCAACUUAUGAAACAAGCCCCUCAUUUCCUUGUUAAACAUAAAUCGACCCAUUAUUGAUGAGGACUGGGAAUCUAAGAGCACACUAGUAAUUAACCUGAGUGGGGAAUAUGGAUGAUGGAUCUCUCUCUCUCUCUCUCUCUCUUGAAAAAAUCAACUUCAUUAUCCUUGGUGAAUUUGUUCUGAAUUAGUCGUGUCCAGCUAAAAGCAAUACUGUACGUAGUAUAUUAUUCUCUGCAUUUGUGCAUGCCAACAACAAACAAAUAUUAUUCUCUAUUAUAGCAUAUAGGCCGUCAUUUUCAAUCCUUAUAAGAGAAAACUUGCUUCGCCAUAAGAGUACGUAGCUUGGCAAGCAAGGUAAGGGUACUUCAGAAGAUUCCUUCUCAUCAUCUAUAUAAGACACAUGUGACAUUGCAUGUCUCAUCAAUCAUGUUAAGAUAAAGCUAGCUGGCAAGGCAAAUUACCAACCUUUAUGCUCGAGUAUAUUAUUCCAAGCAGAUAUAAAUGUUAAUAUAUGUGAAGAAUAUUAUGAUCAAUAUAGAAUAUGUAUCAUGAUCAGAGGGUAUCGACCGUUAAAAAAAAGAAAAAAAAGAAAGAAAAAAAAAGGGGUCUUUAGAUCGAAGCCCAAAAAUGUGCCUUUCAUUAGGUUUAACCCAUGUCUUUUCAGUUUUUGAUCUAGAUCCACUAAUUAUUAUAUCUCAUUUUCAUUACCUAUUUUGAAUUAUGAAUUAGGUUUGAACAAUCAUAAAUAUAGAGUACUGCUGUUUGCACCUUUGUCAUAUUUCUUCAUCUACCGUGUAAAUUUGAAAAACACAAAACCUAUCUUUCCACUCACUAUUAUUCCUAAAUUACCAUUUAAUUAUUAAUUCAAGCAAACUCUCUAUCCUCUUUCUCUUCCUUUCCUUUCCUUCUCUCUUCUCUCUCUCUGUCUCUCUCUGUCUGCACCAGUUUUCUUCUUCCUCUUUAUUUCCUUAUCUCUUCUCUCUAUGUUUCUUCUUCUUUCUCUGCGCCAUGUUUGGCUAUAACCACACUACUGGCAAAAAAUUUGGAUUUAACCCAUAUAUGUCCCUCACUGCUGAACUUUUCUGGUUCUGCCACUGACCCCCGCCAUGAAUUUGAUAUUCCCACCCUAACCCCGCGCCUCCUCCGAUGGGUGUGCUGAGAAAUUACAAGGAGGGUGUUUGGGGUAUGAUGGCAGGGAUGAUGGAGAAGGAAGGAAGGGAUGGUGGGUUUGGAUUUCGAACAAAAAAUAAAAAAUAAAUACGGAUUUAGGUGUGGGUGAGAGAGACGGAGAGAGUUGUAAAUUUGUCCUUAGAAGUCAUUUUGUGAAGGAAUAAAUUUGUCUUUAAAAUUUUAAAAAUAAGAUGAAUGAGGAAAUAGAACAAGUGGGUGCAAUAGUAGCACUCCAAAUAUAUUCGCAAGUAUAAUAUAUGAAAAUAAUAGAAGUCAUAUUACGCAUAUGCAGUAAUAUAAAAUACCUAGAAUAUAUGUUUGGAAGACAAAAUAAUAAACCUAGAACUAGACCAUAGGUUGAAAAACAUAGGAUCUACCUUGAAUAGGAUUAAAAAAUUACACCAACAACAUAUCUAUGUCAUGGGAACACUUGUAAGUUGUGUAUAUUUCAUCACCUCCAAGACCUAUACACUGAGAACAACAAAUAUAAUGCACCACAUAAUAUUGUAGGGUGAGAAAACUCAUAAAUCUGAUCUACCUACAACAUAGGAUUAAAAAAUUACACGAACAACAUACUUACACUGUUGGAACACUCGUGUAUAUUUCAUCACCUUCACAAUAGGUAUCAAAACCCUCCAUGAGAACACUCGUGUACUUGCAACAGACCUACACCUUGGGAACACUCGUGUACAUACACUUACCUAUAUUUACAACAUCUACCUACACCAUGAGAACACUCAUAUGCAUACAACUUACAUAUAUUUAUAACAUAUACCUACACCAUAAGAACACUCGUACAUACGACACACCUAUACUUACAAAUUACAAUGCACUUAUCCUUACAACAUAUAUACCUACAUCAUGGGAAUACUCGUGUAUAUUUGAACACAUGGACAUGGUUCAUGUGAAGCAAAAAGAUAUAGAGGGAAAAAAAAGAGACCGAAUACGCAAAAUGAAAAGUUACCAAAGUGACAAACUAAUAUUAAAUUAUUAAAAAGGUGAAAUCUAAUAAUUAUUUACCUAAAAUAAAUAUUCAAUGAAAUAAUAAUUCAGGAAUUGACAAUAUAAAAGUUAUUGAGGGUAAAAAAGGCAUUAAAAGUUUCAAAAACGGAAACCAUAAAUCUUGGUUGACUCGUCUCAAUAUAGUAAAUUUGCUGUCGUGGAAAAAUACUCAAUGAGCUUACAUCAAAAAAUGAAAUCACAAGGAUUAUUCCUAAUAAACAUACUUUUGGGUUUGUAUCUAAUUUUCCUAAUAAACCUUAAUACUUUGGGUUUGUAUCAAGUGAAACACAAAAGUUUGAAUCUUUCUGGUAAAAAAGAAAGUACUAGUCCUGAUUAUUCAGAAUUAAAUAGAAUCAUAUAUACGGGUCAUUGUAAUCUCAUAUUUCCUGCCAUUCUCCAUGAUAAUUUUGAUUUUUUUUUUAAUUGACAAAGAGGCAAAGAAAUAGAUUCAUCAUUCCAUUGUAACUAUCUCUAGGUAGUUGUUGACUCCGUGUGGAUCCUAGUUUUCUUGAGAUAGUCAUUUUUUGCCUUAAUGAACCCACUCAACACAAUUAGUGAAAUCUGAAAAAUCCAAGAAAUGAAGAAUUUCUUCUUGGAUCAGUCUUUGCAUUCUUUUCUUAGACACAUGCCCUAAUCUUUUGUGCCAUAGUUUUGCAGACUUCUCAUUAUCUAGUGGUCGUUUUUGGCCUAUGGGUUCAAUGUUAAAAGCCACAUUGUUACUUGCAAGGUUUAAGCAAAACAAACCAUCAACCAAAGAGCCAUUGUCCACUGAACUUUUAUUGAAUAUCAAAUCAAAUCCUAUUUCAGAGAAAGCAAAAUUGAAAAGUUCCCUAGUUCAUCUAGAAACUGAAAUCAAACUCCUUCUCAUAGAAGGUACAUAAGCAACAUCUUUCAAAAUUAAAUUAAAGUCUGAAACUAAUUGAAGCCAACUGAGCCUAUUGCUUGAACUGGUAAUCUCUUUCCAUUCUCCACCAAGGUCUUGGUCUCUACUUGUUCUUCUGGCUUACGAAGUCCUGCAUUUAAUUGACUUUAUCAUUUGGAUACCAAGUCUAUGCAGUCCUAUGCGUUGAUGACAUUUGACACAAAGUUUGAUAUAGAUAUCUUUAUCAAGUGAGCUUUCCAAACUAUGAACAUAAGAGCACCUCCACCCCAAAGGGUAAGGGCAAGGCAAGGUUUGUCACUAUUCAAGUGAAUGGUGGCAGCCUUGCCUUUUUUGGUUCCACCCCAAAAGGCAAGGGCAAUUACUAUUCACUUUAAUUUAUUUUCUAUUUUUUUAUACUUAAACCAUUAAUUUUGAUAAGAUUUUCGGUUGCCACAUGUCACUAUUUAUUAUAAAAUUCUCACCUAAAAUUUUAGAUAACAUUUUCAGAUAAAUUUUCGAAUUAAAUUUUCAGAUAAUAUUUUUAGUUGCCACAUGUCCAUAUUUAUUAUAAAAUUCACAUCACACUCAUCAUACAAUUGAAAUACCUACUCACUCAUCAUACAAUUGAAAUACUCAUAGUCCGACAAAAUCGAGUACAAUGACGACUCAAUCAUUGGCGGAGGUGGUUCCACUGGAUCACGAUGUGGGGGAGUAUUUUCCUUCGGAGGACGUAAUAGUGCCAUUAUUUCAUACACGGAACGCAUCACUGGAAUCGGCUACGAGCAUUGUUCACUUGAGGAGCCAUGUGUAAUGGUUUCCUCUUUUUUGUUUUGCCUUGAAUAAUCUAUUUAAAAGUUGAAAUUGGAAAUGCAAGAAAUAUUUUUUUAAAAAAAUACAUUAAAUUGAAUAAAACGGCAAUUAAUUUUUUUCUACCUCGUCGCCAAGAUUUUGACAUAUUCGAACUUUUUUCUACGACCCUUGAAGCCAUUUGUUUUUUAUACAAAAUAGAAAGUAGUUGAACAAUGUGAGUGGAAAGUAAAAAAUAUUUGAAGGAGAAGAGUUUGUAUGAAGAUUUGGUGUGGAACGUGAAUAAAAUUGUUAGGUAUUUAUAGGGAAAAAAAUCCAGAAUUUUUUGGUACUUUAAAAAAAAAUUAGAAGCUAUCAGAUUUUUGGGAAAAAUUCAAUCAGAGCAUCCCAAAAGCGCCACAUGCUUCUUCCCGUUGGUGGUUGUCAUAAAAUAAAAUAAAAAAAUUAACCAUUGGCGCGUGAAAUUCACACGCCAACGGUAAUAAAAAAUUAAAUUAAAUUAAUUUGCACUGCAGACAUCAGCGCCUUUGGGCAACAGCCCAAUCCAGAUUUGCCCAUAAGCUUGCCCGGGCUGAUGGAUCCCACGCCUUGCCCGAACUAGAUUGCGCGCACUUGAGCUGGAUUUCGGGCUUGGGAUAGCCUUUUGCCCGGGCCAAGCUUGAGCGCUGGAGGUGGUGUAAGGAAUCGAUUCUAAGGCAAUAAGAAAGUGUUUUACAUAGAUGUUGCACUCAAGUGGGAGAAUAUAUAUCCUGCAUCUAUGCAUGCCAACGACUAUAAAAGGAGACCAUGAGGCAAUGAGUUCAUCAUCAAAGCAAACACACAAAUCCCAACUUAAAAUCAAUCAGUGAGGCAAUGGGUCAAGAUCAAACCAAGCCAGCAAAUGCUGGAAGCAAUGAUAUUAAAUUUAAAGGGGUGGAUGUGACCGACAACACCGGCGACGUGACGGGAUUUACCCACUUCGCCAACAGAACUGACGGGGCCGACAAGGGCAACAAUAAAAUCGAAGUUGAUGAUUUUAAAGCGAAGGGGAACAAGUCACACUUGAACGUACUUACUGACUUCGGCCAUCGCGGUCAGGCGGGCGAGUCAGGCAAACAAGAAAACAAAGAGAACAAGCAACUUCAGCAGGCAAGCAAUUGAAGAAGGCCAUACCAUAAUAAGUUCUCUGCUUGAUAGAUAUGCACUAAAAUAAGAGCUGAUGCAAUAUCUGAGGCUGCUUCCUUGGUUAGGCCUUGUUUUCAUGUGUAAUAUUAAUAUUAUUAUUCUAAUCUAAAAUAAUGGUUGCUUAUUAUUAAAUAUCAAAAUUCUUUACGUAUAACUUUUAGAUUAUUUAUACUUAUGUACCAACAAGAGAAAAUGAUUAAGUAUAUCAAAAUCCUUUCUCCAAUUCGUGAAGUUAGAAAAUGAUACUUCAAAAUUCACAACUAUAGUUGCACACGAGUAUAAAACUGAACCAAAUAUGAAGCAAUGCUUGGGCCAGUGUGACCAAAGCUCUCAAACGAUGCAUUUGAGAAGAAGGUACUAAAUUAAAGGAUGUACGCAUAUUUCCAGCCUUUGAAGUCGCAUAUCUCUAUAUGGUUCCACUGAGCGAUUGGGUUUGAGCGGUCGGUGGUGGUUCAAUUUGGUUUUGAGCAGUCGGUGGUGGUUCAAUUGGGUUCAAUUGGGUUCAAUUGGGUGGUGAUUGUGGUUCGAGUGACCAAUAAUAUGGCAACUUAAAUCAGAAACAUACAGAAAAUAUGGCAACUUUCUCAAAAAUUGGUACAAUACUGUAAACCAAUAAAUAACUCAAAAAACCAAUACAAAAAGCUAACCAUUUGCCUCGAGUAGCUAAUAAAAUUUAACUAUUAUCAUCUUCUUAUUGCUUGGUGUAGCUAAUAUAAGUAAACUUCCGACGUGCUUAAUUUCUCUAUAUCCGACCUUUUCCUAACACUAACCCUUGGUUUGCAUCAUCUCUAGCAAGGCCACAAAUUAAGGGACAAAAUAUAAAUCCAGCUGGGCCCCUCAACUUAUCAAGAUUUUGCACAGCAAAUAACAAGCCCAGGUUUUCUGAAGAAUCAUGAAGCAUAUAACUUGGAGAGGUCUUCAGAGAAAGCCUUCUUAAUGACAUCUCUCUUGAGCUUGAGAGCUGCAGUGACCAGGCCAGAUUCUGGAGUCCAUGGUUCAGAAAGCAAUUUGAUUUUGGCAGGGAUCUCAAACUUCUCCAAACGUGCCUUCUUUGCUUCCUAUAAUAAGUGAAACAUGAAUAUUUGAAACAGAACAAAACAAAGUAAAUUGAACCAAGCAAGUUUAUAAAGGAAUGAAAGCUUUUCAUAAGGAGAGGAAGUUGAAUAAGUAGCAAGUUCAUUCGAUAGUCAAGAAGGAAGCUUGGUGAAUGAUUGGAUGAUUGUUUGUUUUUAGACAAAAGAAAGAAUAUUUUUUAUAGGACAAUAACUGACAUAGGCUGGCCAUCAAGGAUAAAAGACAUUGCGUCCAUUAGAUGCAUAAUGUAUAAGAUAAAUAAACAUCAGGGUAAUCAAUCUGCCUGAAGAAACUAUUAAGGGAGGAAGGCCAAGAUUGUAUAUUGAGCUUAGAUCAGAGAAUGCAAUAGAAAUUCAAAAAACUAAAAAUACAUAUAUAUAAUUUAUCUUAGUUCAGCAAGCCAAGGCCAAAUGUGAUUAAAUUUGAACAGAGAUCUUGGCUACAGGUAAGAGUUUGUACCUUGAUAAAUGACAAGAAGAACUCAUGAGAUGCAUACACUCCUUGAGUUCAAAGAUUUCUUUCUUUUCUUUUUUUCUUUUUCUCUUUUUGUGGGGGAGUGGUUGCAAUAUUUGAGCUCAAAGUUCAAAUCCCUAGACUCAAGCUAAGUUCAAAGUAAUGGAAAUUUACCCAGAAGAUAUACAUACCUUUAUAAGUGAUGCUUGCACUUCUUUUAUGGUUUCUUCUUUCACACACAAGUCUGAAAAAUCACUAAAAGCAAUUCCUUGCUUUGCAGCCCAAUCUUCCACAGUGAUUCGAGAAGCCACCACAAUAGCCACACAGUAACUAUGAAAAGGAUCAGCAUGCAACAUGAUAUUGUCAACAUAGGGGCACACUGAAAGAGCAGCCUCAACCUGUAAAAGAAACAUUAGUUCCUGGGGAAAAUUUGAUGAAAAGUUGCAUUCAUCUUGCAACACACGUACCUUUCCUAAGGAGACAUACUCUCCAUGCUGAAGUUUAACUAUAUCUUUCUUUCGGUCAAUUAUCUCAAGACAACCAUCAGCAUGAAAUUGCCCGAUGUCACCUGUAUAGAACCACCUCAUUCCUUUCUCAUCAACCUUUUUACAAAAAACCCAAAAACAAAACCCCCAAAGUUAGGAUCUAUUGAACAUUUUUCUUUGGUGGGUAGUUGCAACCAAAAGAAUAUCGGUAUGAAAUAUUUGAAUAGACACCUUGUAUGACUCUCUUGUUUUUUCUUCAUUUUUGAAAUAACCAAGUGUAACAUUUGGACCACCGAUGACUAUCUCUCCACGAGGCAUUGGGGAAUCAGUUUUUAGAUAUCCUCCUUCGGGCCAAUCAAUUAACUGGACACAGAAGGUUAGAAAGUCAAUAUCACAUUCAUGCCUUGGAAACAGCGUACGGAACUCUUCUUAAGACAUUUUCAUUAAAAGAUAUGAAUUUGAAACAGAUAAUUCAACACAGAAAUGGAUAAAUGAACACCUCCAAGAAACUGCAAGUCAUGAUUAGGAUUUCAAAUCUUUCUUUCUUCCUUUUUGGAAGAAUUACUUUAAGAAAAUUAUCAGUUAUACACAUGUAACUAAAAUAUCCAUUGUCAUCUCUUACCUUUAUAAAUGAGCAUGGAAGCGGAGCUCCAACACGAGCAACAGAUGUAUCAUCAAACUCUGAGAAUGUCCCGCCAGCGCAAGUUUCAGUUAGACCAUACCCUUGACCAAUUGGAGAACUGUCAAUAGCACAAAUGUGGUAUGUUGAGAAUAGAGCAAAAGAAAAAAGCAUUAAAAAGCAUUAAAAAUUAUAGGCAGGACAAAGUCAUGGUUCACAAUUUGUUAUGUUGUAGGAGCUAAAAGUACUAACCCAAUGCAAAUGUUGAUGAAUCUUUGAGUAUCACCUGAAAGAGGAGCACCACCAGAAAGGAUAAAACGGAUGCUACCUCCUAGAACUGCGCGGACCUUUCUAAACACAAGAAAGUUCCACAGAAACUUUUCCAGGCCCCAGGCCCCAAACCAACUACCAUUCACAGCAGACAACCUACGAGCAUAUGCCAAGUGAAACAAUCUCUUGGAUAGACCACCCUUUGCAUUUACCUGAACCAUUAUGAAGAUACAACGUUGACAAAACUGGCGUAAUUUCAAAACCAGGUUUUAUACAAACACACGCACAAAUGAUCUAUAUGUGGACAGGCAUAGGUAUCUAAAUAUGUAAAAAUCAUGACCCUGCCAAGAUUCAAAAACCUUAUUCAGCACUCCGUCUCGAACGCGAUCAAGAAUUGCAGGGACUGCUGUCAAUACAGUUGGCGCAAGCACAGUUGCAUCCCCCUUUGUUCCCUUCUUUAUUUUACUUGAAGUAUCAAUAAGAGUCAAUGGAGAUCCAUACCCUAUGGCACUUCCCACAGCAACCAUGACAUUCUUCAAUACAGAUAAUAAAAGUUGUUAAAUCAAGUAGCACAGAGAUAUAAGAACAUGACAAGAUAAGAAUAAUAAAUAUAAAAAAAUGCUCAUUGAAUUACUGUAGCCAUGCAAUAUAGCCAGCUUACAUAUUCCCCAUACCUCCGCUGCUAAUUCAAGGAUAUGAGCAAGGGGAAGGUAUGCCAGAUAAACGUCCUUGCUUCCAAGGCCCGGAACAAUAGUCAUGACAGCAGAAGCUACAGCUAGCACAUUAGCAUGUGUCAUCAUUACACCCUGUACAAAGUGGAAGCUGGAGGUGAAAAUGUGUUCGUUGACUAACUUUUUAAUACAUUUGGAAAUAUAAAUGUCUAUACUUGCAUUAGAUGCCACCCCAAAACAAAUAAAAAAGAAAGGGCACAGAAUAAAGUAGAAAACAAAAAUCGCCAUAUAUCUGAAGGAAAGUAGAUAAUGUAGAGAAAUGUGACGCAACAAGUGUUCAUUCUGUUUACACGUAUGACAUAAAUCGAACAUAUAUGAUCAUUCGUCAUAAAUCACAAUCACCCACAAUGUACCCAUCCAAAGGAAGAACUUUAAGUGAACCCAACCCAUAUCAUAUUCCCCACCCAUUGUACCCUAACUCCAUACAACCAUGCAAGGUAUUUCAUAUAAGCAAACAGCAAUCCCAUGAGCUAAAUAUUUCCAAACAUAUUGAUACAUAUACAAUAUUUUGUUCAGAAAAUGUGGAUGCAACAAAGAGACUUUCAUUAUUGUCUCCUAUUUUUAAUUUCAAGAUGGUAUAUUAAUAAUGGGAUAUUUAUCAAAUGAAAAUGAAAGAGUAUAGUAGCAGUAAACUAGUGAUAUUUACAAUACUGCAGCAGUUUCAUAUUCAUAAAAACUUGGAGAAUGCAUUUUCUCCAACAAGAUUCAAGACUAAGAUUAGCUUAUCUGAUGGAACUAGAAGAAUAUGUCUCAGAUCUACCAGCAUCAAGAAAAGGGAUCACUUGUUUCUUGGAAAAAUCUUUAAAAUAAUCUAUGUGAUUGUUGAGCAUUUGUUUGAGUUCAUAGAUUUAUGUAACUAGGUCAGGUUAAAGACAUAAAUGUCUUUUUUCUUGAGUUCAGUGUCAAACCACCCAUAAAAAAUGUCACUAUCAAGCAUCCGUGUCUUUUGAAAACUUUAACAGUGUAACAAAAGCACUUUUCAAGUGUAAUUUUAAGCCUAAAACUCAUUAAAGAUCAACAGUCGAUAAUGCGAAGGUGGAAGGAAAAAAAUAACAAUAUUGAUACAAAUGUCACACAAAGCUUCAAAAACAAUCAACAAUUAAAAACCAAUUAGAAUGACUAUCAUGUAAAAUAACAAGAAGAUAUAAUAGAGGCUUUAAACCUUGGGCAACCCAGUACUUCCACUUGUAUACAUAAUGACCGCAACAUCUGCAGGAAGAGGUAGAUCUGGUUCAACAGGGCUUUCUCGCCCAAGUCUCUCAACAACAUCGAAUGAAGUGAUUCUCCAUCUACUUUCAACAGAUGAGGCACUAGAUGGGAUCUCAUCAUCCAUACAUAUGAUGCGCUUCACUGUGUCUAGUUGUCCACUUAUAUCUAGCAGUUUCUUCAGUUCUUUGUGCCCACAUAUCACAGUUGUAACUUCUGUCUGGAUAUAUAAAAUGAAAACAAUGCUGGUUAUGCACUAAGAACAAACACUGUGAGGAAAAAUGAUAAACAUUAAUCCUAAUCUAGUACUAACAUAUCAACAUCAUAAGGAUUUUUUUUUUUUUCCUUUUUUUUCUUUUAUUUGAAGAGAAAGACCUAACAUCUCAAAUGCAUCUCCCUUCAUCCUCCGUUUGGAUGGAGGAAAAUAACUCAGGAUUUAGAUAAAAGUCGGGAAUUGAAGAGGAGAAAUUGAUAUUUCCAUUGUUUGGCAACUUAAGCAUGGAACUUAAUAAAUGACAUGCAGAAAAAAUUGUGGAAAUUGGGGCAUCAUUUCGCAAUUUCUAUUGAACAUGAAUUCAUUUUUCACUGUAAUUUCUGUCAUUUACAAAAUUCGACAUACAUAAAUCCAAACACAAAAAUUUAAGAAUUCUAUGCAAUUUUCAAUUCCUUCGUCCAAAUGGACUAGGUUGCAACAUUUUGGAUGAGUUACACAAAAGUCACAACAUAUAAAAUUGGAAACAAAUUUCUUGAGUUUACUACCUUGUUUAAAAAAAAAUUUUAAAGACAAACAUAGAUGAACUCUAAUCAACAAAAAGAAAAUGUACAGAAACGAACCUAUUCUGCAAUAGUAGCACACUGUGAAACAACAGGAAUGUGAGCAAGUCUAUUAGAGAGAGAGAGAGAGAGAACCUCAUUUAAUGAGUGACAUAGAGCCUCCUCCCCGAGAGACGCAUAUAUGGUAACAACAGUGACAUUGCGCCUAAAACAACCCUGGUAUAAGAAAACAUAUUAAGGAAUCAGCAAUUUGUGUUUUCGUUAUACUGGAACUAGACUACCCAAAACACAUAGCAUUCAUGCAAACAUGAAACUCAAUUGAUUUAUCAUUGCUCACAAACACUGCCGUUUAAAACUCUAGUUUAGUGACAGAAUAGAUGAACAAAAAUCACAUCAUACAUGCAACAACAUGAACAUCAAAAGAAGUUUAAGGUAAGCUGGAAAAAUUAUCAUGAAAUGUCAAAAGAAGGAUUAAAUUUUUAUGUACAAAGACCACGCAAGAUACACACCUGCAAUGCAAUAAACCACUCUUCUCUUGUGUCAGCAAAGAUUGCUACUCGUUCUUCCUUUUUAUGCCCAAGUUGAGCUAAACCAGAAGCAAAGUUGCACACGACUUCAAAUGCUUUCCCGUAGGUUAGCCAUUCAUAGUCUCCCAAAUGAAGCUUCUCAAAGGAUCUUCCAUCCUUUGAUACUUCAACCUCCCUUGCAAUCAAUGCCCGGGUUCCAAGAAAGCGUCUAUCUUGGAACCGCUUGGAUGACUGCUCAAAAAGUUCAGCAAGAGUUGAAAUACCUUCCCAUAAUGUUUCCACUGGGGAAGUAAACCGACGGUUUCGGAUUGUAAACCCAGGUUCCCCACCAACAUUAACAGGCAAACCCCGUUUCGUUGCUUUCUUAGAUUUCUGAAGUAUAAGAGUUAGUACAAGAGGAACAAGGGCACCAACAAGGUAGAGACCCAUCUUUCAAAGGCUGUAUAUUCCCAGAAGAAUGUACUAAAUUCAAUCCUGAAAAUCGAACAAUAUCCAAUCAGUUGCAAAUUUCAGAAUCUGAAUUUAUGUCUCUCACUCAUACAAAAUAAUAAUUAAUUAAGUACUGUCUAUAAAUAUAUAUCGUGGUAGCUAGCACUUCUUCCCCCUUAAGAAUAAGUGUGGAGGAUAAUUUUUUACUGUUUUAGACAUUUGUCACCAAAUUACAAUAGAAACUAGAAAUCAGAAAGAAAUGGUAAUACAAAAGAAUUCUUCAAUAUCAGAAAACAGAGCAAACUUCUUGUCCAAAUGCCUAAGGAGGGGCCUAGGAGCUAGCUAGCAUAAGGGUUUUGCAGCUACCCAAUCAACCAGCUGACGCAUGUUAGUUUAUUGUUGAUUAAUUCAAUUACUUGAGCCACUAAAAUUGAGCUCCGAGUUAUUUUUCAUUCUUCACUUUCAUAAAUCUCUCUUUUAUCUAUGUUCAAGCAAUCAUGAAAACAGAGCAGUGCAACAAAAAUGGCUUUCAAAAAAAUUUUUAAAAAUACGCACAUUGUAAUUCAAAAUCAAACGAAUUUCAGAAAAUAGAUUGAUGCUGAUUGUGUGUUUGGGUACCUUGUUGUUGAAGCCAAAGCGCCGAAAACGAAAACGAAUUCAACUUGAGCUCAUCAGCAUUGCGAGAAUGCGAGCAAUGAAGCAGAAGCAAAAGGCUCGCAAAAUGUCAUGGGGAGUGAUGAGAUUGAAACGAAGCGUUUAAUAGCACAGAGAAAGAGAGAGAAGGACGGUGAGCUAAAAGCCGAGCGGAGAGAUCGAGAAGAAGGAACUUGGAGUCUCAGACUGACAGAAAGACUGAGAGUCUGAAGUGGUUUGAGUUUUGGAGUUUAUUUAUUUAUUUAUUUUAAUAAUAAAAUUAAAGGCGCCGAAUCGGGCUCAUAUGGGCCGUACGAUGUGGGUAUUGAACAACGGUGGAUAUGGUGCUUGCGGCCCAAAUGGGUUUAGACUCUUUUUGUCUUCAAUUUUACUAUCAAAUAAAACAAAGAAGUUGUUACAUUUCAUUUGAUUUGAGUGAUUGAUUUUUGUGGCUUAUAUUUACAUAGUUGGUCUAACCGCGUGGCACGACAUGAAAGAUGAGGAUAAGGACCAGGAUGGUGAUACUAGGCCACAAAUUAGUAGGUGAACCAAUCUUGUCACUUAUUAAUUUAGAAAAGGAUGAUAAGGUUUCGUAGCCGUUCAUUCAUGUGCAUGUAAAUGAUUUCUAAUUCAUGCGUACAUAAGUGAUUUCUAAUUAAUUACCGACCGUUGAUGCAUGUAGCAUACAUUAAUGUACAUAAUGCAUCAAUGAUCAACAUUUAUUGUCUCGCACUGUGUAACACUUUCAGAAAAACACAACACUCCAACUUACAUAUCUAAAUUUUGUAGUACUUCCAAUGUACCAAAAUAGUCAUUGUCGGCAAAUGGAUGGGGACUUUACUAAGCAUGUGAAUUUAACAAACUACCCUUUUAGUCAUCAUUUGUUAAGGUUGUGAUGCCGUCUAAACAUUCUGAAGAUGGAGAAAGUUUAAAGAAAUUUUAUAUAAAAGAAACAAAAACCAUAGCAAUGAUACAAAAAGGUGUUGAGACUAUUUAUACAGUUCCAACAUGUUCCAAUUGUUUAGUUUGGCCUUGGUCUUUCAUUUGUAGUAUCUUGUGAAUUUCCCUGAGAUGCUGUUGUUCCGGAAAACAUUUCCAUCACUGAUCUCAAAGCUCCGCUUAGUUCCUCGGGCAUUUGUUCACCGAAAUUGAAAUUGAUGUUACCCCCAAUCCUUAUUCCCGGUUCAUCAAAUCCCUCGGUACUGCUAUCAUCUCCUUGGUUAUCUGGAGAAUGUUGUCCUUGGUACGCAUUUGCAGCCAUGUUCAUAAACAUAUUAGCAAAUUCAGCAGGAAGAGCACCUGUAUUAAAUGGCAUAGAACCAAACGGAGGAGGUGCAGCAUGGCUUCUCGACCCUCCUGUAGACUGGUUGGGGUGUUCUGAAGCACUGCUACUACUAAACGAACUUGUGUUCUGUAUAAGAUGAGGGAAAAAGAAAAGGAUUACAUAAAAAUGACAAAUUAUGCUUGUCAAUAAAUCAUAUCCUUCUCCCUCAAGAAAAGUAUCAUGCUACUUAAGGUCGCCUUCUAUUUCUUAAAAGCUAAAACAGUAGAGAUGAAGGGGAAAAGUAGAGAAAGAAAUUAGUCAAACGGUGAAAAGCAUGCUAACUGGUGUCACACCCAGCAGAGCAUUGUGGACCUGUCUUCUAGUAGACGGGCACUUUUUCCUUAAUAUCAAUGUAUUACCUGACCAGAUUCUGCUCGUUGUUGUUCCUCUCUCAAUUUCUGAACAGCCACCUAUUGGGUUCAAAUAACAAAGUGAUCAAAGAAGUUGUCAUAAGAAAUAAAGAAAAGAAGAAGGCACACAAGAACCAACCCGUAUAUUUUCUUUCACAGCUUCAUUGCCCGGAUCCAAUUGCAAUGCUGAAAGAUUAAAACCCCCAAUUAUGAAAUGUUAAAUACUACCUUUCUAUAAAUCUGCUUCCCCAUUUUUUGUAUCCUAUAUUAGCUUGGCAUUGGCAUAGGUACUUUAAAAAGAUUCUCUUACUAACCUUUCUUGAAUCCUUUCUCAAUAGCAUCACUGUAGUUCCCUUGUGCAUAAUAAGCUAAUCCCAGACGACUGUAUGCCUUGCUAUAAUUGGGGUCAAUUUCAAUGGAUUUAAGGCAAUCUCUGAUUGCUUCAGUAUAUUUGUGCAUCUGAGUGUAAGCCGCUGCCCUGAAUGUACCUCAUAUAUAUCAAUUAAAAUUUCCAGUUUCAAGAAACAGUAAGGGUGGCAAUUUGCUGCAACUAGACAAAGUGAAUCAAAAUUUUACCAGAGUGCUUACUAAAAUAAUACUAACUUGACAUCAAACAUUUGAAGAAUAGUUUAUCCAUAUUGUCUUUGAGAAAACAAUAAUUGUUUUCCUUCUUUGACAAUCCUCAUUACUUUUUAUCUUCUUUUGGACAAUUGAAAUAUGUGAAGGAUAUACGUACAUUAUUUUCUCACUGUCCACUAUGAAAACUAACAUGUUAAACUACCAUUUCCUAGAAUCAAGUAAUCUGAAAAUGUUGAGAAUUUUCUGAUGUAGCAAUUUGUUGUUUUAACAUAAAGAUUAAUUCACAACAGAUAUCUUUAUGUGUCAUUCCUUCUGGGAAAACUGAGAAAAGGUAGAAGACUAAAACUGUAAUUGAAUAAUUCCUAGUACCAAAAAUGUAAGCACAAGUUGGUAGUGCACCUGUUACAGUAGUAAACAGCAUUACUUUCACAAAGUGCAACAGCACAGUCAUACAACUCAAUUGCCUUGGGGUACAGCGUUGAUUGCAUGGCCUUAUUACCUAACAAAAUGAAAAUCACAUAACAGAAUUAGCCUCUGCACAGAAUGUUGAUACUCCGUGUAGAGUGACAUAUUUAAUGAAGCAUAAGGUAAGAUGCAGAUAUUCACCAAUGCCCUUGAUGCAUUUUUUCAUUUCCAAGGAUAUAGAAAAAAGAUAUUGUCAUUUAUAACAGGACAGUGAGUGAGAGAACUCAUGGAGAGAUAGAAAUGAAUUGGCUUUCUGAUAAGAAACAAGAAUUUCGUGGAAAAGAAAAAAGAAAUACAAAACAAGAUGGACACGGAGUCCAUCAGGAGCAAACACCUAGAAAACCAAAAUGAAUGGGCUUUAAACCACAUUUCCUCAAUUUGACAAUGUAAAGUAGUUCAAAAGUGACAUACUAACAACCCAACCAAAGCCAUAUGAGCCUUAAACACCUUGUGAUUUCAAGGUCUCUGCCAGAAUUUUAGGACUGAAUUCCUCGCAUCCAGAUCUUUCCAUCUCCUGAAGCAGCAAAUGAUUUUCUUCUUAUUAAUAAGAUUUUUAAAGGUGAAACAGCAGCAAGAACAUUCCAUUUAAGCACAAUCUUGGGGUUAAACUCCUGGGGAGUACAAUAUUAAUCACAAUGAAGAUCAAGCAACAAAAGUUCCAAAAUGGAAGCAAUAAUUCAAACGUAAAUAUAACAAGGGUCAUGAACUAAAACCAGAAAGGAAAAUGGAUAAUGUCUAACACAAUGGUUUGUGUAGCUGGAAGUUUAAAACCAUUUGGAUUGAUUUUAAACUUCGAGAGAAUCAGUUCUCCAAUCCCUUCACAUCACUCCCAAUCCUCAACUCUUAGUUUUCCCCAAGAAUCGCAAAUCCUGGAUGCUAUACAUCAAGAGCGUGCACCACACACAUUGUCUCAUGUAUAAAUGGUGGUUACGUUAUCAAAUCUCACAACAAACUACAGAAUCAUUGGGAAUUACAAUACCCUGAUCUGAUGUAUGGGGCCACACCGAUGCAUUUAUCUUUACAAUUAAGUGUAAAGUUGGUUUCCCUUACCCAGUUUCAUAAUUCACUUCUGAUAUACAGUUUAAUCGCUAUUAUAAUGGGACCUUAGGCCUUCUAUUAAAAUCCUCUCAAUCACAAAAGAGAACAUUAACUCUAAUCUGAUAUGUUUCAAAUAUCUGAAUUCAGCAAUUUAGCAUGUACCUAAGCUGCAAAGCAUGACACUCUUUAAAGAUGCUAGAUGAGGCUAGAGGAUAAUUCAUCAGCAAACAAAAUUUAAGCAACAUUAAUAAAAUUAUGAGGAUGAGGAGGAUAAAUUUCUAGGAUUUAUUUUGAUGGACAUCUUAUUCAUCCUUCAUGUAGAUUUUCUUUCUUUUUAAUAGAAGUAGUUUUCUAUGGUGGAAAAAAAUCAUGCAACUAUAAAGAUACAAUUUUUAUGGAAUUCACAUGUAACCCAAAGAAAAAAGGGAGAGAGAGAGAGAGAGAGAGAGAGAGAGAGAGAGAGAGAGAGAGAGCACAUACAGCUAAAGCAUCAUGGAAUAAAUUAGUCGCUUUGUCUAAUCUGACUGGGUCAUCAUUACCAUCAGGCAAGGUCUUAAAAUAGAGAUUUCUCUCAAGGGCAGAAAAGAAUUGCCCAAAUAGUGCAUCUUUGGACUCCCCUGCCAAUAACACGAUCAUCAAAUGCAAAUUUAAUAUGCACUUAUACUCAAUUAUUAAAAUGCAGAAAGAACUCUAAACUGCAAAAACUUUCAUUUCAUACUGUCAAUGCAAUUCCAUUUAUAAUAUGAGAUUCAUGUGCACAUUAAAUGAAUAGAUCAACAAAGUUCAAACUAAUUAGACUAUUUUUUGUUUCUUUUGAGAAAGAUCCUUCUAAAACAACUUAAUAAUAAUCAUGUUUGGCAUCAUCCUCUUACCAGGACAUUUUAAUUUAUAAAGUAACAAUGUCAACAGCAAUUAGAACAUAACUACAAUCCAAUUCAUUGAGGCUAGGCGUUUCUGGUCUCGCAAGGUGAGGCAUAAGCCCUGUAGUGUUGAGGCGUAAACCUUUCGGGACAUGAAUUUUUUUAAUCAAAAUAUAUAAAGUUAAAACAAAAAUAAAAAUAAUAAUGAAAAUAAUGGGUCAUUUAUCAAUAAAGAGCACAAAACAGCACCCCCGGUAUGGCUACUAAGGAUUCGAUAUAGGAUUGAGGCUAGGAGAACCAUAUACACAAAAAAAACAUGGGAAAAGAUAGAAGAGAGCCACUUACGAGCUGAGCUAGCCUUCUUCAGAGUAGAAAAGAGAAAUAGAGAGUGAGGUAUGCAGAUGGAGUGAACUAGAAAAGGAGGCUAGUUCGCAUCUUUUGGGAGAAGAAUUAAGGUUUAGAAAACUCAAUUAGGGGCUGGGUUGUAUUGAGUUGGAGAGGAAGAAGAAGCUGGGUUCAUUAAUUAGACAAAAAGUUGUGCCUGGAAUUUAAAAACCAGCCUUGAAUGAAAAAAAACCCAUUUCAUCGCAAGGAUGCCAAUGCAUGACAAAACGACAUUGUUUUGUCUAAAACUAUCCAAAAAAUUAAGGCACAACAAAUUGUCUUCUUCUUCACUAAUCCCUCAGCCUCCAUUUAUUCUGCCUCUGCAACUGAGCAUGUGCCUAACCCCACCUAAUAAUCAACCGCAUAAACCUUCCAUGAAAAGAGCUAAACAACCCUACCCCUCAAGCAAUUCACAAACACCUUGCCCAUAUGCAUGCCUUGAGGCGCAGCUCCAAAACUCUUUUGAAAAACACUGGUUCAAUCCCUAAAGAUGAUUUAAAUAAUUGUUGAUGCAACAGGUAAUGUUCCCUUUAAGGAAAUGCACCCAAUGACAAGAUUCAUGUACAAAAGUGGAAGCAAAUUAGCCACACUUAAUAAAUGCUCCAACAAGGCAAUGACACAUGUAAAGGAAAGUAUGAACUACAAUUAGAGAAAAAAAAAAACAACAAUACUGAAAACGUAAUACCUAAUGCAUGGUCUUUACUUGUCAAAUCUUCACCCUGAUUAAAGUGUAACACGAGACAGAGUCAAACUAAAGACUAAAAAUCAAAUCUUGUAGUAAAAGCAUUAUUAAGAAAUAUCCAUGUUCAUGCAACUAUAAAAGCAUAGUUCAAUUAAUGAUCUUAAAGAGAAUGAAAAUAAACAAAAGCAUCAAGAAGAACAUAAAAGGACAUGUUCUCAAAUCAGGAAAGAACAGUGGUUUUGUGAAUUAAUCUGAUUUCUAAUCUUUUAUUAAAAAACCAAACCUAAUACAAUCAUAUAAGUCCAUUCAAGAAUUAACACCACAAUGAAACAACCAAAUAAUACAAAGUUAGUACAAAAGAAAUCUCAUAUUUGCUUCCCCUCAUCUAGUCACAUAUUCCUCUUCUUUUCCUACUGCUAUGAGAUAGCUUCCAACUUAAUUAUAACCAACAUAUACACCCAAGAUCUGACCGUUAGCUACAUUGCAAAUUAUAAUAUUAGUCACUAUAUCAGUCCUGAUAUUUAGAGCAUAUUCCAUUUAUGUCUCUAAAUAUUCACUUUCUUGCGCUUUAAUAACCUUCAACUCGCAUACUCAAAAGAUAAAAAAACCCCAACUAGAUCCUUUUCCUUCCUUUUCUUCCAUGUUCCUGAUCACAUACUAGUAGUCCAACACUAAGCAUCCCUUUACAUCCUCAUUUCCUUCCCUUGAAACAAAGGACAAGGCCUACUAGCCCACAGCUCCCAUUCAUCUAUUAUACCCAAAUCCCAAUAUCCGAAUGUUAGCAAGCUGACAUUUUCAUUGUCCAUAUUAACUUACAGAUAAAUUCAAAAUUAAUAUAUUCAAAGCAUUACACCCACAUGAUGAUUUACAUAAUAAUUAUUUAAAAUAAUGAAGAAGAUAACAGCCAAACACCAGAGAUUUUGAUGCCUUUGAACGAUUGGCAUCAGCAGAAGCCUGAGCGGCUGAUGAACUAGGAGCAUCAACUGAGCUCGAUCCAUGACCAAGAUCAGAAUUAUUCUCCUGAAGCUUGUUCAACUCCAGUGAACUAAAAAUAUCAACCAACGAAACGGGUUUAAUCCAAUCAUCAGUAGCAGGUAUAUUAAGCUUAAAAGUCUCCUGCAAGCAUUCCUUUGCAACCUCAAGGCUUUCAAGAUCGACACCAGAAGCUGGUUCAACUGCCCCAAAGGAAACAACCCAUAAUAGUAAUUAAAAAAGCAUAAUCAACAAGCACAUUAAACUGAUCCAAAAAACAAACAAACAAAUUAAUGGUAUUGAAUCAAAAAGAGAUAUUGAAGAGAGAGGCAGAGAGCUGAACAUGCAGCCUAAAAGAAUGUAAAGUCUACAGCUUUAAGUAUAAAAGUGCAUCAAUACAUGAGGCAUUCAAAAUCCAAAAUAAUCAAACAAUCAAUACAAUUUUCAUAUCACCACAAAAAGAAAACAAAAAACUAUGAAGCAGCUUCAAACCCUAAAUAUAAUUUCACUAUAUAAUCACAUUUAACAAUUACAUAGAGAGAGAGAGAGAGAGAGAGAGAGAGAGAGAGAGAGAGAGACCUGAGUUGAGGAAAUCCAAGAAGGAACGUACGAUGCGACGAGAGAUGGGAGAAUCGGUCUUCAAUGGAGCCAUGGACAGUGGACUAACGAAGAGAGGUAAGAGGAGGAGUGCGCAUGAUAAAAACGUGCGCUACCACGGCGUCUCUUAGUCUGGAAGCGACCUAGCUUGUCUGAGACUUGCGAGAACUCUCACGACUGACUGACACUUUGGGGCUUUGUGGCUACAGGAUCUUUGCUGUUCCUUGGUCCUUGCUGGUGUUUCGUUUAGGUUCUACAUAAUUACUGUGAUUGGCUUUAAAAAUACAAAAUAUAUUUUUUUAAAUCUCGUUUGUUCGUUUCGUCCGAUGUAAAUCCUCCAUUUCGAGCGACAAUGACAUCACAUAAAUAAAAGAUGAAAAUGCUCAACUUUUCUAUUUUUCACAGAUUAAAAUAAAAAAUUUAUUUAUGAUCUAAACAGUGUGUUUGGAUGAGAAAAUUUAGAAGUGCUAAGGAAUUCACAAACGAGUAUAGCUAUUUCUUAAAAAAAUUCAAAUGUGUUUGGCGAAAUUUCUAUCACCAAAGCAGCCCGACUAUAUAAUUAAAAAAAAGGUUGCGCCUAGCACCUUGGUGCUACGUGUUAAAAUAGUAAAGCCAGGUGGUUAUACUAUUUUUUAAAAAAAUUAGGAAAAAAGCUUGCCACUGCACGGCUAUACUAUUUCUUAAAAAAAUUCAAAAAAAACUCUAGUAUAGCCGGGAGGCUAUACUAUUUAUAGACGUGGCACAUAGGCGCUGGGAACAGUAAAGACGAGCGGCUAUACGAUUUUUAAAAAAAAUUAGAAAAAAGAGUAUCGCCGUUCGGCUAUACUCUUUCUUAAAAAACUGAAAAAAUCUGGUAUAGCCGUUCGGCUAUACUAUAUAUACCCCCGCUCAGCGCCACAUGUCAAACAGUACAGCCGUACGGCUACUAUUUUUUAAAACAAUUAGGAAAAACUGAGUAUAGCCGUGCGGCUAUACCCUUUUUUAAAUUCAAUAAUAUGUCAGAUUUAUGUGCAUAAUAUGUGAAUUUUGUGUGUCUUAUUGAAAUUUCACAUAUUAUUGAUUUCAAUAAGACACAAAAUUCACACAUAAUUCUCACAUAUUAUUGAACAAAAAAUAUGUAUAUAUUUUUUUAAAGGGUAUAGCCGCCCGGCUAUACUAAGUUGUUUCCUAAUUGUUUUUUAAAAAAUAGUAUAGCCGGACGGCUAUACUAGUAUUUCUAAAUGUUUUUUAAAAAAUAGUAUAGCCGCCGGCGUUACCUUUUUAACACGUGGCGCGUAGGCGCUGGGCGGGUCUAUGUAUAGUAUAGCAGCCCGGCUAUACUAGGUUUUUUUGAAUUUUUUAAGAAAGGGUAAACAAUAUUAUGAUUAAUUUUGUAUUGAGUUUGAAUCGAUUAUCAUCUGAGCGUAUGGAUGAAACUUAACAUUCAUUCUCAAGUAAUUGAGUUCAAAUCGUUUUAUCAUUUGAUCACUAAGCUCAAUUCUUUAAUAUUACUUACUCCGCCAGUAGAGAAGUAAUUAUAUAGAUUAUUAUCGAAAACUCCUUCAUUGCCUUUUUCCUUUUAUUAAGUGAACAACACGUUGAUGUGGCAUAACAAAAUGACAAUAACAUCACACGGUUUACCUAAAUUGGGAUGAUUUUCUGUGUUUUUGGUGUCUGAUUUUAAGAGAACUUAUAUUUUGUCUUUAUGGAUUUAAAAAAAGUAAAAAAUAUGAGUCAGCAUGCAUGAAAAAAUUUGUACCACCAUGUCAUCCAUGCAUUUAAUCAAAAUACUAUACUAGUACGGGUCUCAUGAUUAAUUAAACCCUAAUGACACAAACCCAACGCUAUGCCAUAAUUAAAAAUCGCAAUAAAAUAUAUGGUAUAGAAAGGAAAUACAUUCAAAUAUAGGCCAUAUUGCAAGCAAAUGAAGCCCCCAUCCGCCCUAUGCAACUAUAUAUACUCAUGCCAUGGCGCCAAUGCUUAACGAUCCAAAGCCAUAAACCAUCAACAUAUACCAUGGGAGAAGUCAACCCGUCAUGCAUCCUUUCAGAAGAACACAGGCCCAAACAUGUCAUCACUGAAGGUGAAGGAAUCCCAUUGAUCGAUCUCUCUCCAAUAACCAACAGGGAAGGGUUAUCAGCUGAUCCUAAUAAGGCAGUGGAAGACCUUGCUGCUAAGAUAGGUGAGGCUUGCAGGACUAUCUUGAAUACACAGAAAAUAUUGUUUACCAUCUCAAGAAUUUAUACUUUAUUGGUCGGUUAUCACUCUAAAGAGACAAGAACUACUAAUUUAUGGCCAACAUGUUUAGGAUUAGUAUUCAUAUGAGUACUGAUAUUCCACUCUAAAGACAAGAAGUACUGAUAUUCCACAUAAUUCAUGACUUCAAACAUUCGACUUGUUUGUGCAGUGGAAUGCCCUAGAAGGUGAUAUUGUUCAUGCGGGUUUCUUCAACAUGUCUUCUUUGAUUGUUUUGGCCCUAUAUGAAAACGACUUGAUUGGUAAUCUUCCAGACAACAUAUGUGAGCAUCUUCCUAGUAUUCAACGGCUGGGUUUGGGUAACAACCAACUUGAUGGUCCACUUCCAUCUAAAUUAUGGCAAUGUAGACAACUUCUAGUACUAAAGUUGAAUAAAAACAAUUUGACUGGAAGCAUAUGUUGGAAGUUUGAAAGCAAAUGUCCCACAUUGGAGAAAACAAAAAAUUCCAUAUGCUUUAUAAGCAUGAAACCUUAACAUCAAUUAAAUGAGGAUUGGUGGGCUGAUGGGCUUGGUAGUGAAGACUUGCUUGAUUAAUAUUAAUAUUUAAAUAAUCAAGACUUGGGCCUUGGGCCUUGGGUCUCUGGAAAAUAAAAUAAUUAUUUUUUAUUUUUCGGAUUUCUUUGGCAGAAGUUAAAUUCAAACCAGAAAGACUUAUCUUUUUGUUUGAAUUUGAACAGGUAUAACGGAUACUAACUGUUAUUUUGAAGGGGUGUAAUUCUAUUAUAAAACCACAAGUCCUAGGCCAUAAGACGGAUCUCUUUUUCUUUAAAACUAUCUCAUAUUAUUUUCAAGUUACCAACUGUAUUGGAGAGAAGCACACCAACGUUCGCCAGAAUUCAAGGAUCCGGUGCUGGACCCUUGAAUUAUAGAUAGUUGAAUCCUGGGAGAUAGACACCUGUUGACCCGCCUAGCACAGCAUAGACCCGCCUAGCGCCUCCCAAAUGAACCACCCUCUUGUUCAGCGCUUUUAAUUAAUGGAUCCUGUCCGAUGACAUAUAUUUCAUGCCGUUUUGUUUUGGUAUAAUUUUAUUUAAAUUUUAAAGACAAUAAUAUAUAGAUGGAAAUUCAAUGCUUCUUACUUGGUGGUGUGGUUGCUGCAAGCCUGCAACUACGGCCUCUUGGGUGCUUUGCUGCUUUGUAAAGAAUAUUUAUUUUUCUUCAGGGACUUGGUUGUUUAGUUGCUAGUUAAUAGGAGAGUCCAAGUUGUCAUGGAGUCAUGGUUAAUGGCUGAAUGUCAUGGUUUAGUCGUGCAUUAGUAGAUCCUAUUAUUUAGCUUAGUUGCUUUGAUAUUUUGCUAUUUAAAUUGUAUUCAGUAUUCAAGUUAAUGGUGAAGAGAAGUUUGAAUUCCACAAAUACGUUCUUGGUUGUUCACUGUUUCCUUAUUUUCAACAUGUGCUUACCCCAUGUCAGGACUCUUUUACUUGGUAUGGUAUCAGAGGAGGCAAGAAACGACUGAUUACAACACCCAGGCCUCCCUUCUAUCUGUUGGUCUCUGUGUGUGUGUAAACAAGCUUGGUUUUUGAGACUUCUGUCUUGAUCGUUGCUUAAGUUAUGGAUAGAACAAAUAAUUCAUGGUUUUCAGUUUCACCAACCCAAUCGAAUGAUUUUUUUUUUUAAUACUUAUUUUUUUAUAAUUUUUUUAAAAAAUAAAAGCAUACAUUACAUCAUAAAAAUUAAAUUAUUUGUCAAACUCUGAAUAUAAGAAAUUGAUUACCCUAAACCCAUGAAUAUAAGAAAUUGAUUACCCUGAACCCAUAUAAUGUUGAUGUUUGGGUUGGGCUACAGACCAGUGCCUUUAGGCCCCGUUUGGUUCACGAAAUGGAUUUGAGGGGAAAUCAAUUCCCAUGUCAUUUCCUAAGGAAUGGGAUGACAUGGGAAUUAAAGAUUCAUUUCUCACGUUUGGUAAUGUCGAGAAAGUAACCGGGAGAUUUCACUUUGUUUUCUUUCCCACAUUUGUUUUAAGUAGGAAUAGAAAACAAAUUUUGUAUAAUUUUCCAAUUAUACCUAUAUUAAAUCAAAUAAAAAAAGAAUGCAUUUAAUGAUACAUUGUAAUUCUAAAUUGUUCAUGGGGACAAAAUAGUCAUGAAAAUUGUGCAUUGAAUGUUGGUUCAUUUUCCCAAACUUUCCCAUGAGGAGAGAAAACAAAACCCAAGUUGAAAGGAGGGCUUCACUUUCUCCCCCUACUUUCUCAUGUGCUAGGCAACCAUUUCCCAAGCCUGGACUUACCAAACAUGGGAAAGUAAUUGAAUUCUCAUCCCAAGCCUCCUUUCCCAUGAACCAAACGGGAUCUUAGUAGUAAACUAGCUCUCAUCCUUUAGUCCGUCUGUUCUAUUAAGUCUAUUUCAGAGUUAUUUACAAUGUUAAUUGAAUUGAAGCCACCGAGUUCUUGCUAGGUCAUCCUUCAAUAUAUUUAUUUUGUGAUCUUUCUCUUUCAUGAGGGAUAUAGUUGAUGCUCUCCAAGAAACAACUAGUAUCAUGGGUGCAAAGCAUUUGAAAGUUUAAUGCUGAUUCUUGCGAAAUAGAUAUAGUUGCCUUGCCUCCUAACCUACCCCAAGUGUGGUGCACAUAAGUUUCGUUUGUUUAAUUGUGCUCUCCAUGUCAGCCGCCACCGCCACUGCUGUUGACAAAUAUGGUGACUACGAUGAUUUCAAAUUUUACACCUUAUUGAAAUGCUCAAACCCAGUUCAAAAUUAUAAUUGGAUUGUAGCCACCGAAUUCUGACGAGGUCUUUUUUAACGGGUUUCUGAUUAUAACAAUGCAAUAUAUUUACAAUCCUAAAGUUGACUAAUUACAUGCCUGACAUAGCUCUAAAUUACAGCAUAUAAAAUAGGAGACUUAGAUGACUAUUCAUCUAAAUUACAGGGACGUGUCAAAAAUAAGUUUUUUUUAUUUAUAUAAAUGUAGUAUAGCCGACAAUUAAGAAAAAAGGACCCUCCUAAUUGCAUUAGUUUGUAUUUUAUACAUAUUAAUUUGCUAGUUUCAACAUAUCCAAGAUAGAUAUUAAUCGUCCACUAUAUAAUAUUGUAAUAUAAUUUUUAUAACAUGUAUUAUUCUUAUUCAAUAGUAUGUGAAAAUUAUUUGUAUAAUAUAUGAAUUUUGUGUGUCUUACUAUAAAUUUUGUAAAAAAUACGUGUAUUAAACGUUAGAAAUACGUAUUGUACAUGUACAAUAUGACUAUUCCACAUUUUAUUUUUUAAAAAUGUGAGACAUGUAUAGAAUACGAAUGUAUUAUUGAAAAAUAUGUACGUAGGUGUAUCAUAGUAAUGGAUAACUACUCUUUUAAUUUAAAUCAUAGAGCCCAAGAGCUCCAAGGCCCAAGGUCCAUCUUUUGAUUAAUUAAAUAUAUUAAUUAACUAUUGACCCAACUAAUUAGGCAUUUAACUAGUGGCCAUACCCACAAGCCACUCAAUUGGGCCACUUGCAUAGCCACUACAAACUAUUUUGUUUCCAAGAGUAAGUCUUAUAAAGACUUUCAAGGAACUCUAAUCUUCCAAUGUGGGAACUCAAACAUGUUUGCAAUGCCUUGCAAAACCUACAAAACUAAAUAUAGGCUGAGAGAUUAUUAACAACUUUUUCGAUUUUUCAUAGUUUCAUCUCCCCUUAAUAUAGGCUCAGAGAUUAUGAACAAGAAGAAGAAAAAGUGUGAACGUUUCCAAAGUUGCAUAUGAAUGAUUUCUGAAUACAUUAUCAUGCACUUUCGGUUCAGGUUCAUCGUCCCAAAUUUAUUCAACUUAAAUGCUGCAGUUUGCUUCCUUUACAGAAAUGUACAAUUGCCAAAUAAUACAGUGGUUCGUGCCAAAUAUAAUAUGUAGCACAAUUGUAUUUUAGCCUUGUGAACUCUGUUUUCUAGUUCAUUUCUAUUCCUUUCAUUUCAUGUGGUCAGAUUCUAUAUCAAACACUCACAUUUAAUUUUUUUAACCCCUGUGAUAUUGUUGCCUAAGCUGAAAACCACAACCCAGCAGAUCCCAUCUUGGUUGAGAGCAUCGCAAGGGACUUCCAAAUACACUCCGAUGCAAGUAAGUAUUUCUCGAGACAUGUUAUUUGAGGGUAUCAAUAAAUUAAAAAGGAAGUUCACUAGAAAAAAUAGAUAAAUGAAAAAGAAAGCAAAACACUUCCACAAAGACACUAUCCUCAGUUGGAUAAAAAUCCACAUAUUAUUUAUUCUUUUUGAUCCGGGGAACCCAGUGUUCAUCAUACUCUAGCUACUGCAAGUUAAACCUUGAAAGAAAACAUUUUCAGUUGGAACUUUGAUGAUUCCCACGGAAGUCAGUCUAAAAGAACAAUUACGAAAUAAGAACCUCAUAAAAGUAGCACACCCUAGAAGUUCUAGGAACAUCAUACAAUUAGUGAUAAUUCUGUAAGUGAUGAAAUUACAGGUUGCAAUUGGCAGGAGCAUGUUGCUGUCUAAGCUUAUCAUGUAAUGCUCAUCCCAAAGUGGGCAGUCACAUGUUGCUUUCUUGUUCUUCCAUUCAGCUCUGCAAGUAUGGCAAAACUGAUGUCCACAUCUACAAAGACAAUGCAGACAUGAGACAAACUACAAGUAGUAAUACAGAGUCAUGAAAAUGUACCAGCGUCCAGAAGAACCUUUUUCUUCUUCUGAUGGCUGAAUGGUAACACAAGAUCGCCAUUCUCACACAAGAAAUCAUAGGUGCUUCACCCAAUCAUCUUGUUUUCAAGCAACACAAACUGUUAAGAUUUCAGAUCCAAACCCUUAUCUCAAAUUUCUUCAAAUUUCUCAUAUUCAAAUCCAAAACCCUAAAUCAAAUUCCUCAUAUUUUUUUUCCCCAAAUCCAAAUCCCUCAAAUCUAAAGUCUUCAAAUCCUCUUAUCCAAAUCCCUAAACACAUACCAUCAAAUCUUAUACACAUACCUCUUAAAUCCAAUUCCUACAUCAAAUUCAUACAUCAAAUUUCUCACAUCACCUUCCUCACCUUCUCAUAUCACAUCUUACUUCCGCUACGAUGUCAAGAACGCAUAUGAUUCUCCAUCUUAUUGCAGGCUCACAGAAGCAUGCGGUCAACCCAGACUCCUUCUUCUAUCCAAAGCUUCUACUCUUCAUACGUCCUCCAAGAUCAAAUAUUGUAUAUGCUGUGAGUGUGGAAGAGUAUUUCAUGACUCACUUACCAAGUUGGGCAUUCGUGACAUAUAUGCACCAACUUGAGAAGGAGUGUUGACGUGAGUCUCCUAAUUAAUCAAGAAAAUUUACUUCCUUGACUAAUUAAGGGAUUUACUUUCUUAUUUUUUAUAUAAGUGAUAAAUCAUUGUACAAUUAGGAGAUACUUUCAUAAUUCUCUACUAUAUCUAAUUCCUUGUCAAACCUUCAUAUGUAAACUCCUAUAUAUACCUCCUUAUGGAGAAGAAUAAAGAACAACAUAAGAUAUUCAAAUCAUAUUCAUAUUUUAGCACAAACUACAACCUAACCAGUGGACUUAGAAAAGAGAGGUCCCCUUCCCCUUCUUUUCUCCGCCACCUCUUGAUUGGGUGCUGGGCAAUAAGGCUAUCAUUUCCUUUCUAGUAUUGGUGACCUUGUGUAAGGUGUGCUUGGGAGAGUUCACCAUGGCGACGGCUGCCUCGUCUAGAAAUGAUUAGCAGAGAACUGUUAGGGAAGAAAGAGAGAGGAGAGAGAAAAAUAUUUUAUUUUUUUUUAUGUCAAAUUUAAUCUUAUCCAUUAAAAGUGGAGUAAUCUAAUGGCUUAAAAAUUGUGUCAAAAUUUAUCUAUAAAAUUAUAUAUAUAUAUAUAUAUCAUAUGAGCUGUCAGCGAGAGAUUAUAUUAACAGAGAGUUUCAAUUUAUUUUAAGGACAUCCUUAUAUGGCCAACCAUGCAUUGCAUUUCAAUUAUCCGAACCGUCUAGUUUAUCAUUUAUACAAAAAAAUACUUGAAUCGAAAACCAUUUGACUACUCAAUUAUAUGGUCAUUAUUAUAGUCUUUUCUUGAAGCACCAUGUUCGUCUUAUUUUGUUGGUCCCAAUUUGAUACCUUAAUGAUUUUCAUUUUGCCUGAGUUUUUGCAAGAAUGAUUUAUGAAUGAAGACUUGAAAAAUAGACGGUUUAGAUCGUUAAAAAAAUUCGCAAGGAACCCUAAAAGGUGUCCCUCAAAUAAAAUUUGAAAGAUCCCUUAAUAGAAUGGGACUUAUUAUAUUAAUAUGUUAUUUUAAGUCUUUUUCCCUAAUCAACCGAUAAAAAAUAGAUUGUUGUUGUAAAGUAUAAAGUAGUGGAGCCCACUUACUAUUUGUUUGUAGACUUUGGUGCAUGAGUUUAUUCACGGGUGAAUAGUGAAUAGUGAAGAUGAUUGGAUAGAAACAUCACGGGUGCCAUUUAUCAUGCCUAUAAAUAGGCAAUCCUUUUGCCUGCAAAGGAAGAUAGAGAAGACAGAAGAGAAAGGGAAACGGAAAGAAAAAGAAGAGGAAAGAAACAAAGAAGAGGAAAGAGAGAAGAGGAAAGAAAGAAGGGAAAGAGAAAAGAGGAAAGAGAGAAAAGGAAAGAGACAAGAGGAAGAGAAGGAAGAAAGAGGAAAGAGAGAGCAGAGAGAAAUUCUCUUAGAGAGAAAAUUCAGUGAGCCACACAUAUUGUAAACACUAAAGUUGUAGCCCUAUUAUUUUACAUAGUGAAAAGUUACUACUGCUGCUUUCCGGGGACGUAGGCAUAGCCGAACCUCGUUAAAUACUGUGUCUCAUCUACUUUACGUGCAGCUCAAUAUUCGCACAUAUUCCAGGUUAUUUUAUAACACGUUAUCAGCACGAGAAGCUCUCAGGUAUAAUUUUUGUGCUGCACUAUUAUUUAUACUACUAACCAUUAUGUUGAUGUAAAGAAGAAAAGUAGUGGAGGAGCUGUGGUCUGCUAGAGAGAUAUACGAGCAAACCAACUGGAAGGAUAAGCUCCCUGCCUCUUACUUUUUCUAUUAUUUUAUUAUUUCUCCACACAAUUUAAUACUCAUACUAACAUCCAAAGCUAGUGAAGUUUGCAAGAGAAAAGAAGAAAAGCCAACAUAAUUUGUCUAGCUUUCAAACUAAUGAAUCAUGUUGUUGAUAAGAUUCCAACGAAGAAAAAAAAAAGGGGGUUUGGAAAAGCUUCCUACAGUAAUUUUCACUUUCUUAUAUUUUUAGUGGUGAUUUUAUUCCCACAUUUAUUUUAUUUAUGGUAUGGUGUAGGUUUAUUACCCAUACGACAAUAUUUAAAGGGUGGUGCGGGUUUAUCGUCCACGCCUUUGCUUAUCUAUUUUAUUUAUGGUAUGGUGUAGGUUUAUUACCCAUACGGCAAUAUUUAAAGGGUGGUGCGGGUUUAUCGUCCACGCCUUUGCUUUUAUUUAAAUGUAUGGAGCAGAAUUAGUGCCCAUACAAGCACGUUUACUUUACCGCACAUUUAAUUUUAUUUAAGGUAUGGUGCGGGAUUAACUUCCAUACAGCAAGCUAUUUAAUUUAUUUAAGGUAUGGUGCGGGAUUAACGCCCAUACAGCAAGCAAUUUAAUUUAUGAAUUUAUUUUACCGCACAUUUACAUUUAUUUAAAGUAUGGUGCGGGUUUAUCGUCCAUACCAGUAAUUUAUUUAUCAGCAAUUUAUUUUAUGGAUUAAUUGUGCUGUAUGAUAAGUUUUUACAGUAUGCAGAUCAGGACCAGAAGUUCCUUGAUCCUCAUCAUACAAUUACAUCAGGACUUGAAGAUCCUUGAUGAUGAUAUUAAUAUGAGAGCUGGCAGUCUCUCCGGUACUGUAUUUGUAAACAUGUGAUAGGACUUAAGGGUCCUUGAUCCCUGACAUGUAAAUAAGGACCUAGAGUUCCUUAAUGAUGUAACAGUACCGUAUUGGUUCAUGGUGCCGUACACAUGGAUGAUAACUGUACUGGCAGAUGAAUAGAUACGUAUUCAUGACUUGAUGAAUAGUACUAUUCACAUGAAUAGUGACGUAUGCAUAUUAACUAUUUUGGGUAAACCGUCACUAUAUACAAAAGGGAACCUGCAGUUCCUUAAACUCAUGGAUGAGCAAUUAAAUGAGAUGCCAGAAGUUCCUCAAAAUAUGGACAAUUAUGUAAGGGUUUGAAGUCCCGAAAUAUGUACAGAAAAUUGUAAAAAUGUCCAUACCAUGAGAAUAUGUGGCUUUGGCCUGAAGUUCAAAAUUUAACAUUGUUGAGAACCUGAAGUUCCAACAAUUAAAUGGACAACCCUUGAGGUAUUAUUGCAAAUUGUGGUAUGCCACAUAUUUCUUUGGCAUAAGAAGAUGAUAAAUUUAAUAAAGUUCGAUUUUGUUAUAAUCGACACCUCAAGGAAGAAAUAUAUUUUGUGAAUUCCGGUUGUUAAGAAUACACCGCGAAAUGGAUAAUAUUAAUAUAAACCUCAAAUAAUGAAUUGAGGCUCCCCACAUGUUUUGUUAUAUCUGGGCCGGAAGCCCAUGGAUCCAAAUAUAUGAGAGAUCCUGAACUUGAAGUUGUGGGUAUAUAGUAGUUAAUGUUCUUCACUACUAUAUUGCGAUAUUAUCAUGACUUUUACUCAAUUCAUAUUUCAUGUCCAUUUGAAAAGGGCAAAUAAAUUCUGAGUUUGUGCCCAGGCCAAAAGUUCCGGGUUACCAUGCGAUAAAAUAUGAAAUUUGGGAGAGACAAUGUGGUUAUUUGAACCUAUAAGGCACAAGGUUCCAAACCGUCAUUUUGAAAAGACGUAAAAACCACAGGUGUAAGUUUAAGAAUGUGUGCAAUAGGAAAGGAGCAUAUAACAGAUAGAUUUUUUCCACCUGCAAUGAAGGUGCAGGCCCUGUAAAAUCUAUAAAAUUACAUUAUGUUCUGGAAGCCUCUGAAGGAAGAGGACGACGCCUCUUAAGCUUAGCCAUGAGCUUCUCGUGGUCUCCCAAAAUUCUUUCAUUGGAGACCUACAACAUGUCUAGCCUUCUCAGUGUAUCAACGGAGUACGAACUCACCAGUUUCAACAAAGAAUUAUUCUCUCCUUUAAGUUUCCCAACCUCCUGUUGAGACUCAUGAAGCAUUCUUUGAAGAGACGAAUUUUCAGUUGUUAGCCUCUCAACCUCGUUUGCUCUGGCACGCAAACGAUCAGCCAUGUUAGAAACAGAAGCAGCACUCUGAAUGCUAAAAGCCAUUGAGUCAUCAAUAGCCUCUUCCUCAGAUCUCCCUGUCAACAACAUUUCAUCCAUUGGAGUAAUGAAAUUCCUAGCUACUAUGACAGCAGUAGCAUCAUUCAUCAUCACAGAAUCAUUAACUGUGAGAUGACGAUUUUGGGAUACAAAGGAUGGACGCCAAACUUGGGCAUCAUUGGUAGUUGUGGGAGCAUCAUUUAAAUUGAAAUAAUUUGGGCAGGAAGAAGAGGAAGCCAUUUUAAGAAGGUUUUGAAGAAAGUCUUACAAAAACUAAAGUUUCAGAAAAUGAAGGAAGUUGAGUUGAACGCAAUUGCUCUAAUCAAGUUUUACAAAGGCAAUAUCUAUAGACGAAAAUGUGGCAACAUUUCCAGGAUCCCAAUAUCUUCUCGAAUCCCCAUAUUAUCUUUUUCUUUCCCAGAGUCCAAAACUUCACGUGGCCUCUAAUAAUGCCUAUCGGCACUUUCGGCGUUUUCAAGUAUUAUUUUCAAAGCCGAUCUUGCUUUACGGAUUUCACGGAGCUACUUUUUCAAAAAUAUCCCGAGAAUCUCGCAAUUUUCCUAUUAAAAAAACUGUUUUAAGUCUUUUUCCGGGAAAUUGUAGACAAUUAAACUAAUCGUGUAUAAAAGUACUACUGAAUUGGAAAUUUGUGAAUGUGAUUGCGAUUGCAGGCUCUUUAGUUUUUAGUCUUGGUCUUGGUUUUUACUUUUCAGUCAAAUAAAACCAAAAUUGUUAAGAAACGGACAAUUAUUGCUACACCAACUUUUUGUUUCUUCUCCCUUUUCUACAUCAUAACCAUUGCCAGGAAAUUUAAGUGGAUCCAUUAAACUAUUUAGCUGACGUAUGUGCUUGCUAUGUAGCACGGUGACCACUAGCAGACCUCGAAAUUUUUUGACUGAAGUGUAAUAUUGACUAAGUAUGAAAAAUGAUUUUUCGGAAAAUUAUUUUCUCAAGAUAAUUUUUGGCGGCUUUUAUUCGUUACACAUCAAAUAAGAAAAUUUGAUUUUAUGGGAUUUUAGUAUGAAGUAUAUAUUGAUUUAAUGAGUCAUCAUUUUUAGCCUAAAUCGUAUUUUGCACUAAAACUGAUUUUUCAUAUUUUGAUUUGGUGAGAAUUUGAUUUUCUAGUAUUUUUAUUUGAAUCCAAGUGGGGGGUACUUCCUUAUUUACAUUGUAAACUUAAGUAAAUGAAGUAAUAUUAAAUGAAAGUAGCUAAAAAGAUAGUUAACAACGUAAUUAAGUUAAGAGAUCUAAUAUCAAAAGGGUAAACAACAUUAUGACUAAUUUUGUAUUGAGUUUGAAUCAAUUAUCAUCUGAGUGUAUGGAUGAAACUUAACAUUAUUCUCAAGUAAUUGAGUUCGAAUCGUAUUAUCAUUUGAUCGUGUUUAGCUCACUAAGCUGAAUUCUUUAAUAUUACUUACUCUACCCUCAGAGAAGUAAUUAUAUAGAUUAUUAUCGAAAACUCCUCCAUCCAUUACCUUUUUCCUUUUAUUAGGUGAACAUGUUAAUGUGGUAUAACAAAAUGACAAUAACAUCACACGGUUUACCACCUAAAUUGGGAUGAUUUUCUGUGUUUUUGGUGUCUGAUUUUAAGAGAGCUUAUAUUUUGUCUUUAUGGAUUUUUUUUUUUUUAAAGUAAAAAAGAUGAGUCAGCAUGCAUGAAAAAAUUUGUACCACCAUGUCAUCCAUGCAUUUAAUCAAAUACUAUACUAGUACGAGUCUCACGAUUAAUUAAACCCUGAUGACACAAACCCAACGCUAUGCCAUAAUUAAAAAUCACAAUAAAAUAUAUGGUAUAGAAAGGAAAUACAUUCAAAUAUAGGGCCACAUUGCAAGCAAAUGAAGCCCCCAUUCCCCCUAUGCAACUAUAUAUACACGUGCCAUGGCACCAAUGCUUAACGAUCCAAAGCUAUAAACCAUCAACAUAUACCAUGGGAGAAGUCAACCCAUCAUACAUCCUUUCAGAAGAACACAGGCCCAAACACGUCAUCACUGAAGGUGAAGGAAUCCCAUUGAUCGAUCUCUCUCCAAUAACCAACAGGGAAGGGUUAUCAGCUGAUCCCAAUAAGGCAGUGGAAGACCUUGCUGCUAAGAUAGGUGAGGCUUGCAGGACUUGGGGGUUCUUCAGUGUGAUCAACCAUGGCGUGCCUUUGGGCAUCCGGAGAAGAAUCAUGGAGGUGGCACGGAAAUUUUUCGCAUUGCCGGUGGAGGAGAAGAAGAAAGUGAGCAGAGAGGACCAUAACACUGCAGGGUUUCAUAACGAUGAGCAUAGCAAAGACUUUAAGGAUUGGAAAGAGGUUUAUGAUUUUUAUGUUAAUGAUGGGAUGCUAAUGCCGGCUUCCCAUGAACUUGAUGACCCUGAAAUUGUUCCGUGGUUCACUCCAUGGCCCGAGAACCUACCCGAGUUCAGGUAAAAGUACACUAACGAUGAUGUAUAAUUCAUAGACAGUCUGACACAGGGACGGAUCCACAGAGGAGCAAGGGUGGUCAAUUGACCCCUGCAACUCCGGAAUCCGCCACUAGAGGAAGAAAAAUUGACCCCUGCAAUGGCUGGAUCUUCGAGGAAAUGCCUCAAAGGGUUGCAGCAACUUCAACUUCAGCGCAGCAAGCAAGCAUUGCACGCAGAGCGCUUCCUUUUUUUCGUCUUUUGAUUCAUGGGGCCCAGCCAUCUGUUCGAGGAAAUGCCUCAAAGGGUUGCAGCAACUUCAACUUCAGCGCAGCAAGCAAGCAUUGCACGCAGAGCGCUUCCUUUUUUUCGUCUUUUGAUUCAUGGAGAAACGACACCGUUUCAUUUAAGUUUUUAAUUUUUUUUUUUUUAUAAACAUAUUAAAAUAAACAGGGGCAACAGCAAGCAAUGGAGCUUGCUACCCGAUAAAGCCCACAAUCCCCAAUACAUUGGACAUUUCAAACGCAAUAUGCUAUUAUGUUUUCAAUUUUUUUUUCUCUUUCCCAAUCUUGCUUUUUCUCUUCUUUUUCAUUUCAGUUUUUUCCUUUUGCUCUUUACUUUGUGUUUACUUUUUAUUUUACAUUUUUUUCCUUUUCAUGUAUUUUUAUUUAUUACAUAAUUUUAGCUCAUUCAAUUUUAUAAUUUAUUUUUGUCUUGCUUUUAUUUUUUUCAAUAUUUUUAAUACAUCGAUGUAGUUGUAACCGAGAUAAAUUACAUCGCCGACUGUCCUGCAAUGUUUAUAAUAUUUCUUAGUAGAUUGAUAGGUUUAAAGUUUGUUACUUUAGGAGUUGAAUCUUUGUGCAUUUUAAUAUAAGGUUUUUGUUUUUGUGGAUUGGUUAAUAUAGUUAAUAAAAAUAUGGUGGAUUGAUUUAAUAUGUGGUUUGUAAUGUUGUUUUCUCAGUGAAUUAUAUAUGAAUGAUAAUUUAUCGUUUUAUUUUUAUGGGAUAAAUAUUGAUGUUUUUCUUGAUUAGUUGUUGAGGUUUUUUUUUUGUUUGUUGCCAAGGAGGUUUAAUUUUGGUUAGUUAUUGUUAGUUUGAAUAAAUUAAGGGUUUUUUUAAUAUAAAAAAAUUUAUGGAUCUACUUUGUAUAGAAAUUUUUUAGCUUUUUGAAAGGAAAAUUUCUGGAUCCAUCCAUAGUUUGACAUGUAAUUGUCACGACAAAAUAUCACAGUUCAUGAUACAUAUAUAAUUCUUGUAUAAAAACUAAUUCAGAUUUUGUGGUUUGUUGAGAUCAGGGAGACAUGCGAAGAAUACGGUCGAGCAUGUGAGAAGCUAUUCUUCAAUUUGUUGGAACUUGUCAGCCUCAGCUUAGGCUUACCCCCGGAGAGGCUGCAUGGGUACUUUGAGAAUCAAGCAAGCUUUGCCCGACUCAAUUACUACCCUCCAUGUCCCAAACCGGAACUUGUUCUUGGCACCGGUGGACACAAGGACCCUAGUGCUCUAACGGUCCUCGCUCAAGAAGAUGUCGAAGGCCUCGACGUGCUUCGAAAAUCAGACGGAGCAUGGGUUCGUGUCAAGCCUGUCCCGGAUUCCUUUGUCAUCAAUGUUGGCGAUGUUCUUCAGGUAUUAUACAAACAAUUACGACUUUGUGUGGAUACGACUAUCUUUUAACUCGGUGGAGACUGGUUGGACCUUUUUGGCAGGUAUGGAGCAAUGACCUUUACGAAAGUGUCGAGCAUCGGGCCGAGGUGAAUGCAGAAACAGAAAGGUAUUCCAUCCCUAUAUUUUUUCACCCUUCUCAUGAUGUAACCAUGAAGCCGUUGGAUGAGUUGGUUGAUGAACAAAGCCCGGCCAAGUACCCCGAAUACAAGGCAGGGAAGUGGCUGAAUUUGAGGAUGUAUAAUAACUACAAGAAACAUGGCUUCUAUAUGCGGAUGACUGACUACAAGGUUGCUGCUUAGUUAUGGAUAUAUGCUCCAAGUGGCCAAAUCUGGGUGUUUCAUGCAUGCGAUCAUCGAAUAAUCAACGGCUAUAUAUAAUGUCACAAUAAAAAGGGCUUCGGCUUUGUAUGAUUUUCAAGUUAUGUCUUGCAAAAUUAAAAUAAAAUGAACUGAGCUUCAAAACUAUUGAGCUCACCAAAUUGAAACCUGAAACAAUAAGGACACUUAUUAGGGGGCAUAAACAUUGUCUAAAUUAUACAUGCAGACGUAUCAUCCUAAUCUGAAUAGAGUCACUAAUCACUAAACGAUUAAAUUAUACGUUCAUUCUCUAACUAUAUACAAUAAAACUCAGAACAACUACUUCGGUUCAAGUUAGGAGAGUCAGUCAGGUUUACGGUUCCAUCGGUUAUUGAGUUCACUGCAUAGAUCUAAAGAAAAAUCUGGCUUUCUGAUUAAAGAAAAGAGCAAACUAACUACUACAAUGACAAAUACGUACAUAAAGAAAACCGGUACGUAACGUAAACAAUGACCCUCAUAAUAUGUGUUCUGAUUAUAUAUAUAUACUUGCCUCUCAAUUAGCAUUAGAAGAACUCAUACUAAUUUCUACAUAAUACAAAAUUUCAUUUGCAAGAGAACUCGUAGAUCAAUAUAUAUAUAUAUAUAUAUAUAUAUAUAUCUAUAUGUGCACACAACCUGUCUGGGGUUGCUCGCUUGUGAAGAAUAUAUACAACAUUGACAUCUAAAGUGAUUACUUACAGAAGGCAAAGGGUGCAAACUCUGGGACGACCUGUUGGAACUUUCUGCCACACUGAAGGCACCAAAGAUUCCUUGGAGUGAUCUGCCUGUUCGACCUCUCAACUUGUCUUAAUUUUAAGUUAGAGAUGUUGCUAGUUUCACGAACUGAAGUGCAAUGACCUAAUUCAAAAUAAAAUACUAUCACAGCUAAUUAAGUUUCUUUUGUCUUCGAGUUCUUCUGGGAACCUGAAAUAAGCAAACAGAAAUUAGUGUUAUACAUAACCAGGGAUAUGUCAAUAAACACACACAUACAGGGGACGAUAUUUUCUUUGGCUGACAGUUUGCUAAGCAAAAUUUGGAAUUUCCAUCUUCGUAGAUGUUUGAUUAAUCGAAGUGUGGGGAAUCAAAUCCAACGCUUGAAUACUGUGCUCUAUAAGCUUUGUUUGGGUAGCAAUGUUUAUUAAAUAUGACGAGAGAAAAGGAAAGUGGUUUAUUUACCAAUAAAAGCAGAGGAACACUUAUUCGAAGAAUUAUGGAAGCCAUUUAAAUGAAGAUUAUAGCUUGUAAGAGUUUCAAAAAUAGGGGAAGAAAAUACGAUUCUUUAUAGGGGAUAAGAAAAAUUCAAACAUAAUUCACUUGGAAUUUAUUGUACCAAAACAUUAUAAAGAAAAAAAGUACGAUUUUAACAUUUAUCACAAAAAAUCAGACUUGGGAGUUAUAUUAUCUAAACAGACAACGUUAGCUCCUAGGAAAUUAUUCCACUUGGUUCCUUAAAAUAUAAGAGCAAAGUGAAAUAAUAAGAAGGAAAAAAUAUUGCAAGCCUUACAGCAGCCUCAUUCAUAUCAGUAAUUUCUGAUGCUGAGGUGUCCACAGAGGCUUUCCUCCCCACCUUUUGUUUCUGCUGCAUCCAAAACUACAGAGUUAGCCACAAGAUCAUUGGAACAGUGCAAAGAAUUCAGGGUGCAACUUUCAGACUUCACAAGCAAACACUGCACACCCAAAAAGGCACAACAACUUUCAUGCUAGUUUAAUGUUGUCAAAUUGUGUUUAUACUCCUGGGUGGUUCCAGGCUUCAAGCAUGCACUGAAAAUUUUAAUGAAUGCUGAGUCAAUUAAAUAUAAAAACUUUUUAUGAAUGAUCAGUUUAUGACUAAAACUGAAUUACAUGGAGGUGAAAUUGAAAUUUUUUAUCGAAGUCCACUUAAGCUUUCAACAGUACAACCAGUUUUUUUUUUUUUUUUUUUUAAAUUUAAAAAAGUUUGUAAAUGUUAAACUGAAGUUCACAUUUGCAAGCUAAUAAGCAUUAUUUCACCCUUACCUUUUCCUCCAGUGAGUCAUCACUUAUAGUUUCCCAGCUCUCACUUGCCAAGCAUACCAAUUGAACAUCCCCACUACUAUCACACGUGAUCUGCCAAUAGGAUGGGAAAUUAAGCACGAUGAAAAAGUGACAAUGGAUGUGCAAUACUCACAUGCCAAAAAUAAUAGUAACAGGUUAGGAAGGAUGUAUUUUAUUCUCUAAAAAAAUUCCACGUAGUUGCUGAACUACAGAAAUUGUUAUUUUUGAAACUAGUCAUAUUUAUUCACCUUGUGUGUGUUGUUUUGAGAAUUAUAACCAUCCACUGUACCUGAAUAAAAACUGGAAAAGAAAAAUCAAAUACUGUUAUAAAGAAGGGCUACAACAAUGUUGAAAAAUCAUCUCUUUCAUUGGAAAAAUGCUCACCAUUUAUCUACUGGAGACAAAAAUUUGAUCCGUUGCCCAACCAAUGCCUCGGCCUUUUUACUAAUUUCCUACAAAAUUCAUACAGAAGUGUUAAAUAUGAAAUACAAUUUCAAGUGCAUUGAACGGGAGAGCUUAUUCUUACUUUCAGGCUGCAAGGGCCCUUCAGCUUCGCCCUGGGGUGAUUGGAAUGCUCCACAUCAAUGGUAUUGCUUUUGAAAUUCUGGAUUGAGACAUUUGAUCCACCUAGAGAAGAUAUUGUAGCUACAGAAUCACAAGAUGAAAGUAUUUCUUUUUCCAGACUAGUUUCAGAUUUUUUAGAUACACCACUUGGGUAAUCGUUAUUAGAACAAUCAUGGAAUGCAACUGAUCCAGGAGCACUUGGAGAGAGAGCUCGUUUUCUCCUACGUCCUCCUGUACUGUUGCCUUCUUUCUCAGGUUUUUGGGCUUCAGCUCUCCCAUCUUUGGACAAAUUAACUAUCUUGCAAGAUGCUAAGAUAAGUUUGUUGUCUUUGACAACAUCAGCUUGUGUUCUAUCCUCUUGACACUUACGCCCGCGUUUAGGAAGUGUACUAGCAGGCUGGAAGGUAAACAAAGAUUUUCCGUCGAGACAAAAAUAUAAAGAAAAAUUUAGACAAUCCUGGGGCCACAUAAAUUUCAACAGUAAAUGAACAGUACAGAUACAUACCAAAGAGAUAUUAGAUUUAAAUAUCUGAAUUACUCUUUUGACAAAGUGCUCGUCAAAACAUGACUGAGUAAGGCAUCUUGAAUUAGACUGCAGACAACAAAUAAUAAAAAUGUAAAAAGAUGUGGAACAUUUAAAUAGAACAUUAAAUUUUCUUUCAGCCAAAAGAUAGAGAAAAUAAUUUUGAAAUUUUCUUCCAAAACAGCUCACACUUUUAUUAGCAAUACUCACUUUGUAUAAGGAUGAUGGUAACAAAAUUUGCCCAGGAGCAUGUGAUGCGGAGAGGCCAUUAUGAUUUGUUAAUGUCACAAAAGAGUGUCCAAUGUCUGCUAGAACGUGCAGCUUCUGCAUUGUAAGAAAAACCUCCUUUCCAUAAACAUAAAAUGUAAACAUAAAGUGAAAGAGGGGGAAAGCUAUUCUCUGAGGGAAAAUUCUUACAGGAGUUCUUUCAACAUCUAUAACAUCCUCAGAUCUCUUAAUUGCACGGAAAAUGCAGAUCAAAUACAAGACAGAAUCCUUGACAUUAUCCAGGGCACCAUCAGCAUUACUAGCAUUUAUUAAAGCCUGUAGUAAAACAAACAAUGGACUGCAAAGAGACAUAAUCCAAAGUGUCACCAUAACUCAUUCAUAUCCAGUACUAGGAAAUCUGCAAUGUGAUUAAGUCAAAUGGAUCUUCAUACCUGCAAAACCGAGCAUAUGUUUCUUCAUCUAGAGAGUCCAUAGGUGGGAAGCUUGUAUCAUGAGCAAGAAGAUGGAUCAAGAAUACCACUAUGUAUGCUGGAAAAUCAGUGAUUAAUCCUUCUUGCACUCCAGAGAUUUGAUGCAGUUGAGCUUCUCUACUGUAAUCCUUGACAAACUCUGCCAUAUAUUUUAACGACUAAAUUGAAUGGUAUUAGCAAACAUUACUUGAUAUAAGUCUACAUAAAUAAUUGCAUAGAUAAAUCAUAUUUAGCAUACAUCAUCUUGCAGAUCCUUGAGGCAAUCUGAGGUGGCCAUUGCAAAAGCACAUGCAUAUCUGCUAGGUAUAGCAUGCUCCUUCAGUAAUUUGUGUGCUUUAUCAAGAAAUAAUCUUCUAACCAAAGGAGAGUCAUCCUGGAAUGUGUCAUGAGAAAACAACUGUCCAUAAAAACAUAAUUACAUGGAAAUUCACUUCAAGAGUGAUAAUGAAAUCAAAUUUGAAGAAACUGAAGAAUAUACACACAGUAAAGGAUGCAAGUCAACUCAACUAAACUAAGCCUUAAUUGGUGAAUAAUAUCAGAUGCAUGUGUAAGAAAUAAUGCAGGAUUACUGAUACCAUCUAGGGACAUUAUUUUAUUCUUUAUUUAAGUGCAUUUAUUUGAACAUUUUUCAAUCAAUCUAUGAAUGAGACCACUCACUGGACAAGGUAAUAAUACUAAGUUAGAGCUACAAACACAUGUAAAGCUAUAAAACCAUCAUGAACCUCCACAAAACUAAAAACUCAUCAGGACUUUGUUUCCAUUGCUUUUAUAGGAAACCGAGAAUUUAUAUAUAUAUAUAUAUAUAUAUAUAGAGAGAGAGAGAGAGAGAGAGAGAGAGAGAUUCUCCAAUACGUAUUUUAUGUUUAAGGAUUGGNNNNNNNNNNNNNNNNNNNNNNNNNNNNNNNNNNNNNNNNNNNNNNNNNNNNNNNNNNNNNNNNNNNNNNNNNNNNNNNNNNNNNNNNNNNNNNNNNNNNUCUUGAGAGAGAUCUCAUAUGUCUAGCGCUAUCUAGUGGUCUCAGCUAUAGCAUAGAAGGAGUCGUCGGAGCAGAAAUCGUCUCAUGCUAACCUGUGUGCUUGUGAGUUGUAGAUGGAUAGAGACACGAACAUACUUUCUCUCCGUUUCUUGAUUUUAUCUUUAUGUUGCAAAAUAAAUGCCCCCACGAGAUCUCUCUCUCAGGCUGGCUCUCUCUCUCUGACCCUUCCUUUCACUCCUUCUCUCUGUAUCUCUAUAUAUAUAUAUAUAUAUAUAUAUAUAUAUAUAUAUAUAUAUAAAGGAAACAAGAGAAGUUGGGGGAAGAAGUCCAUCAGAGUGAAACCUAGAACAAAAUUGUCUUCUCAAAAGGAAAUGGUAUUCCCAUUCCCAAUUACAAACUUUGAUAAGGCAGAGAACAAAUAGCCAUGAAAAUACAUAUUUUUUAGGCCAACGCUAGGAAACACAAAGCAGAACCGAACAGACAUACCUUUGCCAUUGAAAUUGUAAAGUGAAAGAUCUCUGGAGAAAUAUGGAAAUCCCAUCUUCGAGAAAGCCGAAGAACAGACUUUGCAGCAGCUAAUCUAAUACAAGCUUUAUCAUUUUCACUGCAUUAGACAAUAAAGUAAAACCAAUUGAGUGGUAUCCAAAGAUACUUUUCACAAGCAAGUCAAAAGUAAAACAUAAUUCAAUGAAGAUAAAGAUUUUAAAAGCACUGCAAAUUGUAGCCUCUUUACACGUGUGUAUCCCUUGCCUCAAUACUGCCAGAGUCACAGUAAAAGCCCAAACAGCCAGUUGAGAAUUUCCCCCGAGUGUGAAUCAAAAAAUUUCUUCAAAGUUUCUAAAGCAUCCCUCUUCCCGAACUAACAUAAGUAUGGGAAAAGAAAUUGUAACAAUAAACGUAAAUCACUCAUGCUUCCAAAAACAAAAUAUCAGCUUUUUAGUUGUUUUAUUCGAGCACCACAUUGAUGCUGGACAAAAGCCAAGACAUCUAGUAUAAGAUAGAAGACACAAAAAAAGCCUCAUCACAAAAACAGACAUACAAAAUAAUUAAAUCAUAAAGCUUUAGUCAACAAUUUAGUCAUUUUAUUUUCAUCUUCAUUUUCACUUUCACUUGAGCCGACUGGAAUGAAGAAUUAGUCCCACAUGAAAUUUAAAAUAUGAACUCUUCCAGUGUUAAUUUUUCAUUUGAUGAAGGAGUCUGAAAUCAUACCAUGAGGUGAUACCCUCUGCAGUUUCACCCUUUUGCAGCAUUGUUGACAAAAUGUCCCAGAGUACAUUAAUUUGCCGUUUGAUCUGAGUUCCCCGAUGUGGCAAGAAGCUCUUGACAAGUGCUUUCAGGCCAUAUAUCUGUAAAAUAAGUGAUUAAGCCAUAGAAAUCAUGGAGACAUCUAUAAGAAAGGAAUGAUUUGAACACAGUUAAACUCAAACAUAUAUAAUCACCAGCAGUGAUUUUGGACCCUUAGUGGGUUGAUCCUUGCUUUGACACAGAGUCAAGCACUUUCUUUCAUAUGGGCCCUAACAACUAUUAAUUUGUUCCUUAACCUAAAUUAAGCAUUCAGGCCACGAAUCAGAACUCCUGCGAACUAUACCAGUGCAAAAGCAUUUAAAAGUUCAAACAAAAAACAAAACAAGCAUCCAUUGAGUCAACCAAUUCAUUUCAGUAACCAAAAGUUGUAUGACAUACUUGCUUCUGCUCCAAGUUAUAGUAACAUUUCUCACCAAAAAUUUAAAUUAAUUAAUUUUAUAGGAAAAAAAAGGACAGAAAUUUUACACGUGCAAAGCAACUCAAUGAACCACUAAAUUGUCAACCUUAUCUCAUAAAAUCCCACUCACAGCUCAACUCGACUCAAGUUUUUGCUUAUACAAAAAGCCAUGAGAAGAAAAUACUUUAUAGCCUUCAUUACUACAAAAGUUGUUCUCUCACAGUUAUUCUUUUAUGCAUUAUAACACUCCCAUUAAUUCAACCUUUUUUUAAAUAACAGAGUACAUUGGCAGGAAUCAAGAAGGUACAAUCAGGUAAAAUUCCUGGGCACUAGACAUCAAACCCAAACUUUAAUGGUAGACACCAUUAACAGCCGAACCAAAAACUAAUACACUCAGUGAAACUAUUUGUAUUCAGAACCCACCUUUAAUUUACAAGAAUCACUACAUCCGGACACAUCAUUGAAUGAGUCCACAAAAUCUGAAGAGCCCACCUACACAAAAAGUUUACAAAUUUUAGUAAUAAAACCUACUACAUUCUGGCAUGCAACAAAGUUCAAAUUGAGUGAGUUCAUAUCUAUCUCACAGCAGAUGUCAAUUACUUGGAAAAUUUUCUGGUAUAUACAAGGAGUGAUCUCUCCAUCUUGGCUUUCGAAUGUUGAAACAGAAUACUGUGCAAGACACCCCAAGGACUGUAACACUGUUGGUAUGUUCUGCCCACCAACUAAAGAAUCCACCAGUUCCUAGACAUGACAAACAUAAAUUGAUUCACUACGGGUUAAUAGGAAACUUCCACGAGAAAGCUCAAGAAUUAUUUAUGUAUGCCUGCAAGUCAUGACUUUCAAAGGGAUCCAACUGGGGGAAACAGUACCACUAGGGCAAGCAUAAAUUCAUACGGCAUGGAACAGGAAUUUUGGAGCAUAGGGACCCAAACGAAGUUUAAGCCAAGCUAACGCUUGAUUUAAUUUCAAUUCUAAUUUUUUAUAUCUAUAUUAAUGUUCUUUUUGUUGACAUUUGAUUCCUUGACCCAUAAUACAUAUGAUCCUUAACCAUUUAAGAAAAAAAAAAUUAAGUAGCAUGAAAAAUAAUCAACAUAAGUACAUCCAUGUAUACAGAUCCACACAUGGAUAUAACAAAUGGUGGCCAAUACAGCUAAGAACUUAUUAGGAGGCAAAUAAAAACCAAAAUUGUAUGUGAUUAUGAAAAUAUUAAUUGACUGUAUGUACAGCACAUAGUUUAUGUGAGGCUGAAAGAUAUAUAACAAUAAAUAAUGAAAAUAGAAAUUCUAAACUCCAAAACUCAAGCUAAGCGUACCUUGCAUAGACUUGAGAAAAUGAAUUGCUUUGAAGUAUCAACUAAUGCAGCAACCGCUGAAACAGCAUAUUUUGACUGAACGCGGUUCCCCUCCAGACAAACCCUCUUCAGAAAGGGGUAGAUUUCACUACAAAGAAGAAGAAGUUGAAGCCACUAUGAGAGUACAUUCGGAAAAACUAGGUUUAGGAUUGCAAAAUUCUUCAUAUUGAACAAAAGGGAGGAGCUUUAAAGAUGAAGUCCCUAAAAUACAUCCAUAAGAGAGAAAAUAUGACUUGGAAAGAAGUAAACUAGCAGUACUGUUAACCAUCAACAUCAGUUGUUUGAUCAUUAAGUAUAUGGACCACAAUCAAAUAGUUUAUCUUAAUCUACUAAUGUAUCUAUUCAUAAAAGUUACUUGCUUCCAAUUUUCAAGAUAAACCUACUAACGAUCGAGAUGAAAAACAUCUAUUUAUAUAUUACAAUUAACUAUUGCAAAAGGAAUAUAACAGGGGUUGGAAGCUCAAAUACCAUAGCAUGCAUAUGAAAGCUUGGCAUAUUUUAGCAAUUUAACCAGUUACUGCUGUCAAAUGUGUAAGGAAUAGUUAAGCACACCCAGCAGAACAUUUACAAACUUUAUUUUUGGAUUCCACCAUAUGUUAGAGAAUACAAAUCCUUCAACUGAACAUGGCAAGUACUUAGCUCGUUUAUAUACUUAAUCAAUUGUGUCCACCAUGCACAAGCUCUUUCUAAUAUUUAUUUCACAAAAAACAAUUCUGACAAAGAAGAAGCAUACCAAAUUAACAUAAGAAAAACAGAUAAAUGGGAGACCCUACACAAUGUCUCCAUUGGAACAUGAAACUCCACCCUGCUCAAAAUGUACAAGAAUCAGGACUGCAGAAAUUACCUGAGUUUGACAGAUAUGUGAGUGCCUGCUUUGGCUAACACUUCAAUCAACUUCUCAUUAAUUGGGUCGCUCUCCUCUAAUAACAUCCGAAAUUGGCUUUCUGAACCUCUCAGCAAGACAGGGAAAAAGCUGGUAAUUGCCUGAACCAGGUAAAAAAUGAAAGCAACUUCCAAUAAAAAAAAGUGAUAAUUACCAAUUAUGCUUCUUUGCAAUAAUGCAAGACAAAUUCAAAUGGCGAAGGGACAAAACUUCUCCCCCUAGAUACUGAGAUAGUAGUUGGUCAUGCAUCUAAAUUUGAAUUAAUCCUUCCACACUCCUCUCUUUAUUAUAAAACAUAGGAAGGAGGAUAAAAUCAUUAGAAAGCUAAAUUUUACUUAUGUAUACAAAAAAUUUAAACGAUAUCCCAUCCUCUUAAGGAAACUAACACAUUCUCUCAAGCUUUUCCCAUCAGGGCAAUACAAGAAGCCAAUUUAGGUCAAUAUAGUGACAGAGACCAACAGCCAACCAUACAACCAAACCACAGCCUUAAGUGAACUGAAACUCAUUCUAACACCUGGCACUCUUAAAUCAUAAAAUUCAGGCCUUGAGAUUCGUCCAAGCCAGAAUUAAAUGCUAACUGUGCUUGCCAACAUUGUUUCUUGGUAAACACAGUCAACAACAACAACACCACCGAUAAUUUAUGGCCAUUGGUCAAGUUCAAACUAUGAUUGUGUUUUUGAGCUCAGCCAAUUAUAAGUGUCAAGAGAAGCACAUAAAC
rnacentral:lncRNA from 1 species